CUCUCUCUCUCUCUCUCUUUAUAUAUAUAUAUAUAAAAUUAAAUAUUUAUCCUAUAUGUUUAAUGGAUUUUGUUAAAAUAAUAUAUCUUUUAAAUAGCCUACAAUUAUAAGAAACUUAAAAUUCAUGAAAAAUCUUAUUAUUCUAAAAAUAAAGAAUCUAAUGGGCUAAAUCAUCUUAUUAUUUAAAAAAUAAUAAUCGCAUGGUAUUUUAGCCUAAAAAAAACACUAAAACUAAAAAUUAAAAGCACUAAUUAAAUGUUUAAGCAUUUAUUGGAAUUACAUGAUGUGACGGCUGUGGUGAAUGCCAAAAGUUCAGCUUUAUAGCGUCGCCCUCAUUCAUAGUGUAUGUUUCUUUGGGGAUCCCAAAUACUUGUUACAAAAAUAUAAUUCUAGGUUUAGAGUUAUAAGAAAAUUAUAAGUUUUUAGUUUUAUUUGACGUUUUAGUAAAAUUUUGAAUUUCAAUAGUAUAAUAGAAAUAGGGAAAGUAUAUAAUGAGGGCAUUCACCUUUGGUGUCACAACUAAUCUUGACAAUUGGAUGUGAAAUUAGGUAGUUGCAUUUAUUUCAUUGAACAAGCUGAAAAUUCAAAAGACUUUUUCCUGAACUUUAUGGAUCAGAUUUCACAUCGAAUGGUUGUAAGUAAUUGUGAUUUUUUUGUACAAAAAGUAGAUAGUCUUAUUAUUGUAUACAAUCCCAUAAAAUAAGGAACUAAUUUAUUUUUAUUGUAUAGUUACAAUUUCAUGCUAUUUUGAACAUUUUAAGUAUUAUAUGAAAUCAAUAAUAAAUAAAAUUAAAAAUAACAUUAAAAUGCCCAUUUUAAACAAAAAAACAAUGUACAUAGUAUAUAUUUUAAGAUUAAAAUGCCGAUUUUAAACAAAAGGAAAAAGUUUAUAUAAGGAUGAACCCUAUAAUGUAGAACUACGGAUGCACCUCAAAAAUCCAUCAGAAAAGGUACUUUUAAAGUUGAAAAACCCCUUGAUUGAUCAUCUCGACAUCGAGAUGUACAACUAUAAAAAAUAAAAAGAUUUUAAGUCUUGGAAAUAGUGUAUUUUACAACAUAUUAUCUACACCGUCCAUUUUCAAGAUUUUCACAUGUUUAUAGAUCUACUUGAUUUUAACCAUUUUUAAAAUUUAAAAUUCUAUAAUUAGAUAUAAAAAUAAAUUUCAAGAUAAUUUUAAAAACAUUUUACAUCAAAAUUAUAUAUCACGAUAAAAUUUGAAAGUCCACCUUACCUCUACAGCUAGGGAUGCAUCCGUACGUCAACAGCACCCUAAACAAAAAUACCAUGUUCAUAGUAUAUUAUUUUCCGUUCUACUUUUAGAGAGAGAGAGAGAGAAAGUGGGCAAUGAGUAGUGUUAUUUUCCAUGUUUCAAUCGCUUGACAGUAAAAAACGCGUGACAAUACUCGAUCGCCACAGUAAAAGAGGUGUGUUUACCCUUUUCCGUUCUACGUUUUAGGGGGGGGGGGGAGGCAAUGAAUAGUGUUAUAUUUUCCAUGUUUCAAAUCGUGUGGUAGCAAAGUGCUUUAUAUAUAGAUAGAAGAUACAUGUAUAAUUCUGAGGAUCCUUAUACUAUAUAUAUUUCUUGUUAGGAUCCUUGCACUACCACUACAUUUUACAAAAUUCAUUUCAGUAACUAAGUUCCGUUAACAUCUCAUCCCUCAUCUCCAAAUGGGUAGCUUUAGUUGCUCUAAUGGCGUCUUGGAUUCAUCUGAGUUGGACUGCAACCCAUUAGAUGCAGAGGAAUUUAGAAAGCAAGCUCAUGUAGUUGUGGACUUCAUAGCCGAUUAUUACAGAGAAGUGGAGAAAUACCCAGUGAGAAGCCAAAUGGAGCCCAAUUAUCUCCGGAAUAAGUUGCCGGAAACUGCCCCCGAAAGGCCGGAAAGCCUCGAAACUAUCCUCGAAGAUGUCAAGAAAUACAUCAUCCCUGGUCUAACUCACUGGCAGAGCCUCAACUUCUUUGCGUACUUUCCCGCGACUGGAAGCACCGCGGGGUUCUUGGGCGAGAUGCUUUGUACGGCCUUCAAUGUAGUUGGCUUCAGCUGGAUCGCCUCACCUGCUGUGACGGAGUUGGAAUCUGUGGUCACCGAUUGGUUGGGGAAACUGCUGUCGUUGCCGGAAUCCUUCUUGUUUUCCGGCACCGGAGGUGGCGUCAUACAUGGGAGUGCUAGCGAGGCCAUGCUCUGUGCGCUCGUUACCGCAAGAAACAUGGCUCUUGAAGAGCUCAAACCCCCAAAUAUGAAGAAGUUGGUUGUCCACUCUUCUGACCAGACCCAUGCAGCUUUUGGGAAGGCUGCCAUGAUUGCCGGCAUCUCCCCGAAAAACCUCCGGGUUAUCCCAACUUCGGUAGCCUCAGACUUUGCCCUCUCCCCUGUACCUUUUGAAGCCGCUCUAGUGGCAGAUAUGGCGGCUGGGCUCACACCUUUUUUCUUGUGCGCCACCGUUGGGACCACCUCAUCUGGUGCGGUGGACCCCUUGGAGGGACUUGGGCUCGUCCCAAACAAGUACAAUGCGUGCGUUCAUGUGGAUGCAGCAUAAGCCGGCAAUGCAUGCAUAUGCCCGGAGUUCCGGCACUACCUCAACGGUGUAGAGCUUGCUGAUUCUUUCAGCAUUGGCCCACACAAGUGGCUCUUGACCUACAUGGAUUGCUGCUGUACAUGGGUGCGGGACACUCGUGCGCUGGUGCGAGCACCGGGUACAAGCACAGAGUACUUGAAGAACAGGGCCACAGACACCAAGAAUGUAGUAGACUACAAGGAUUGGCAGAUAGCCCUGACCCGGCGGUUCAGGUCAAUCCGGCUGUGGCUGGUGCUGCAGAGCCAUGGUGCUGUGAGGUUACAGAGCCACAUACGGAGUGACGUGGGAUUGGCAAGGCGAUUUGAGAUGCUGGUGCGAGGAGACAGGAGGUUCGAGGUGGCCGCGAAGAGGAGGUUCUCAUUAGUGUGCUUUCGGUUGGUGAGGGGCGGACCGGAGCUCAACGCAGCGUUACUCGAGGCUGUGAACGCAUCCGGCCGCGCCUACAUAACCCACACUGUGAUUGGGGGGAUCUAUGUCCUACGAUUUGUGGUUGGAGUUGCACUCACCCAAGAGCGGCAUGUGGAUGAAGCAUGGAAGGUCAUACAAGAGCAGGCUGAACUCCUUAUGUGACACGAAAAUGUAGACUUGUGUUCAAUACUUUAAAAAUUCUAUAUAUAUUUAUGGGAAGUAAUUUCAUGUCGCCCUCUUAAAUAAUUAGUGUGUUAUUCGAAUUGGUUAUUCUUACAAUAAUGGGGUUAAAUCCUAUGCUUUCUACAUCGCUAGGUAAAAAUUUUAUGUUUUUGUUCUUAUUUUUAGUAAUUUAAAACUUGUAUAAUUAUGCAUGUGUGUCUCUUUGUUUUUUAAUAUGAGCCUACUGUGACGAACACUUAGAAACUCCUUUCAAACUUCAAAUUGACGCCCGUUGAAAUGUUAUGGAAGCACCCUCCUAGCACGUCAUACUGAAAUGAAAAGAAAUGAGUGAUCAUGAUUGCAUGUAACAUUCUCUUUUAACUUUUGGGAUGAUAUACAAUGAUAUUAUUUAUAUUUGGUACAAAAAAUCACAAUUUUUAUGACCAUCUAAUGUAAAAUACGAUAGCUUGGGUGUAUCACAAAGUUCGAGAAAAGUUCUUUCGAACUUUGAGCUUGGUCGAUGAAAUAAAUACAGCCACCCAAUUGUACAUCCAAUAGUCAAAAUUAUUUGUAACUACUUUGUACCAAAGUAAAUAGUCUCAUUAUAUACUUUUCCUUAACUUUUUAUGGAAUUUGGAUCAAUUUAAUAUUUUGGGAAUGGAAAAUUCUCAAUCAAGAAUACGCACACACACACACACACACACACACACACACACACACACAUAUAUAUAUAUAUAUAAGAANNNNNNNNNNNNNNNNNNNNUUACUCAAUCAAGAAUACGCACACACACACACACACACACACACACACACACACACACAUAUAUAUAUAUAUAUAAGAAAUGAUAGCGUAGGCCCACUAGCCUACAGCUACAUAUGAGCCCUACGGCCUAAAUUAAUCGGAGCCGACUUGAUGAUCAUGAUUGCAUUUCAAUUUUAAUUUUUUUUUUCUAUAAAUCCAAAUCACUUGAAAUUUUAAGUGUGUUUUUAAAAAUAGGAUAAUCUAAUAAAAAUAUCAAAAAAAGAAUUCGUAAAAACUAAAUUGACCAAAAUACAUUUGAAAAGUGAGGCGAAGAAAGCACGCCUAAAAUUUCAUGUGAUUUGGAAUUGUAAAAAAAAUUAAAAUUAAAAUACGAAAUGAGGUUGUCACCACUAGAUCGGCCCAGAUUAAAUCUAAGUUGUCAGGCUCAUAUGUAAGUAGCUAUAGGUUAGUGGGCUUACGCCAGCUUUUAUAUAUAUAUAUAUAUAUGGGUUUGUCUAGAGUUAAUAACCCCUCAAAAUACAAAGGUUUAAGUUAGAAGGGGUUGUGAUGGGCAUAUUUAUCAAAACAAUCAUUAAUUUUUUAUUAUAAAAUUAUUUAAAUAGGUAACUUUACCAUUAAGCAAUGACAAUUUUGAAAUUUUUACAAAAGUACAAUGUCACUUUGGAAGUUAGUGUCUUGAAACUUUUUUUCUAGAGUGCCAUUGUCUUUUAGUUAAAAUUUCAACUUUACCUCUUAUGGAGAUGACAAAAGUACCAUUUGUCUUGUGCUAAAUUUACAAAAUUGUCCCAUAAAAGUAAUUUUUUUAAAAAAAUAGGCUACAAAAUUAAUAAAUCCACCAUUCACAACUCUCUCUAUCUUGAACCUUUGUAAUUUGAAGGGUUGUGAAGUUUAGAUUAUCCUUAUAUGUAUAGGGUGCGGUUUCUAUGAGGUUGCAACCUUAAAAAAUCUAAUUAAGGCGUACCUUAAAAUUUUAUCAUAACAUUUAAUUUCGUUGUAAAAAACUCUUAGUAUUAUCUUAAAAUCUAUUUUCAUACCUAAUUAUAAAAUUUUAAAUUCCAAAAAUGGUUAAAAUCUAUAGAUAUAUGAAAAUCUUGAACAUUGACGGUCUAGAUAAUGUGUUGCAAGAUGAACUAUUUUCGGGACUCAAAAACUUUUUUUUUUUCAUAUUCAUAUAUUUCAAUGUCUAGAUGAUCAAUUAAAGGGUUUUUUUCAACAUUAAAACAACAUUUUCGAUAGAUUUUUGAGGUGUAUCUAUGAUUCUACAUUUUAAGGUUGCAACCUUAUAUAAUCCCAUUUAUAUACCUUAAAAUGUAGAACUACGGAUGCACCUCCAAAAUCCAUCAGAAAAGGUUAUUUUAAUAUUGAAAAACCCUAUGAUUGAUCAUCUCGAUAUCGAGAUGUAUGACUAUAAAAAUAAAAACAUUUUGAGUCUCAAAAAUAGUGCAUCUUAAAACAUAUUAACUACACCGUCUAUUUUCAAGAUUUUCAUAUGUUUAUAGAUUUACUUGAUUUUAACCAUUUUUAAAAUUUAAAAUUUUAUAAUUAGAUAUAAAAAUAGAUUUUGAGAUAAUCUUAAGAACAUUUUACAUCAAAAGUAUAUAUUAUGAUAAAAUUUGAAGGUACACCUUAGUUGGAUUGUUUAAAGUUGGAACCUGUUGUAAACUACACUUACAUAUAUAUAUAUAUAUAUAUGGAAAAAGCUUGGGUGAGCCCACUAGCUCACAGAAAAAAAUGAGUCCAACGGCCCAAAUUGAAUCUAGGCCGAUCUGAUGAUCAUGGAUAUCCGAUAGUGUUUUAAUUUUUUUCUACAAAUUCAAACUACUUGAAAUUUUAGGCAUGCGUUUCUAUCGUCAAGCCACAUCUAAUAAAAAUAUAAAAAUAAUAAUUCACUAAAAAUCAUUAACCAAAAUCCCUCAAAACUUUUCGAUGGUAUUUUGAUCAAUUUAUUCAUGUAAAANNNNNNNNNNNNNNNNNNNNNNNNNNNNNNNNNNNNNNNNNNNNNNNNNNNNNNNNNNNNNNNNNNNNNNNNNNNNNNNNNNNNNNNNNNNNNNNNNNNNNNNNNNNNNNNNNNNNNNNNNNNNNNNNNNNNNNNNNNNNNNNNNNNNNNNNNNNNNNNNNNNNNNNNNNNNNNNNNNNNNNNNNNNNNNNNNNNNNNNNNNNNNNNNNNNNNNNNNNNNNNNNNNNNNNNNNNNNNNNNNNNNNNNNNNNNNNNNNNNNNNNNNNNNNNNNNNNNNNNNNNNNNNNNNNNNNNNNNNNNNNNNNNNNNNNNNNNNNNNNNNNNNNNNNNNNNNNNNNNNNNNNNNNNNNNNNNNNNNNNNNNNNNNNNNNNNNNNNNNNNNNNNNNNNNNNNNNNNNNNNNNNNNNNNNNNNNNNNNNNNNNNNNNNNNNNNNNNNNNNNNNNNNNNNNNNNNNNNNNNNNNNNNNNNNNNNNNNNNNNNNNNNNNNNNNNNNNNNNNNNNNNNNNNNNNNNNNNNNNNNNNNNNNNNNNNNNNNNNNNNNNNNNNNNNNNNNNNNNNNNNNNNNNNNNNNNNNNNNNNNNNNNNNNNNNNNNNNNNNNNNNNNNNNNNNNNNNNNNNNNNNNNNNNNNNNNNNNNNNNNNNNNNNNNNNNNNNNNNNNNNNNNNNNNNNNNNNNNNNNNNNNNNNNNNNNNNNNNNNNNNNNNNNNNNNNNNNNNNNNNNNNNNNNNNNNNNNNNNNNNNNNNNNNNNNNNNNNNNNNNNNNNNNNNNNNNNNNNNNNNNNNNNNNNNNNNNNNNNNNNNNNNNNNNNNNNNNNNNNNNNNNNNNNNNNNNNNNNNNNNNNNNNNNNNNNNNNNNNNNNNNNNNNNNNNNAUAUAUAUAUAUAUAUAUAUAUAUAUAUUGAUUAUGCUAAAGUAAUUAUAGAAUAUUUUAUAAUUGUAUUCAACAAAUUUUAGACACUUAUAUUGCGUACGUUAAAAAAAUUCUCAUAGGAGUACCCUAACAUAAGGGUGCGUAAGGCUAUAAAAAGAAGAGUGCCGAAAGAAGAUAAAUAGUAUGCAUAUAUCACUAUAUUAACCUUUAUAAAUUUACUUAUAAAGAAUAACAUAUGAUAUUUUAAAAUAAUUGGGUCGGGUCCAGGACGAGUCUACCUGGAUCUAGAUCCAACCCAAUUUCUAUUCAAAUCCAAAAUUUAGGCCUACCUACAAGAUCCAUAUCCCGGACCCGCCCAUUACCCAAACCGGGUUGGCUAGUCGGGUCUUGGGUCAGGUCCUAAUAAAUUCCCAACCCUAUGGUCAUCACUCCUAUUAUUACCAAGCAUUGUUUUGACCACACCAAACAUGUGCAUUACAAUAUGUCAAUGUAUGAUAACAAAGUGCAUUCAAAGAAAGCACCAGGCCUGGUUCCGUAUCUGAUCCGCUGUGCCCUUUUUAUUCUCUCUCCUACCUCUUCUUCACAUUGUUUUUUUGUUUUUUUUUCCUAAUUCAUUCGGGCAGAACAAUGAGAGGAAUCAAAUUUGAAAUUCAGCAUUGCUAAUUUUAACGGCUAACGAACUCAAACCCGAGCCGAUGCGUUGUUUUUCCGUUUACGUAGGGUUGUCAACGAGCCAGACUCGGGCUGGGCUAUUACUUCCCCUAAAUCUUGGUCCUGAGCAUGUGUCCGUGAGGCCUGACUUGGCCAGGGUACGAAAUUUAAGUUUAUGUCAAGGCCCAGACCCACCCCUAAACUAAAACGAUUGAGGAAGUCUGGCCCGACCAGAAAAAAUUGGACUGGCUUGAGCCAUAUUAAUUUCAUGAAAGAAAACGUUUUGAUGGGUUUGGGAUGCAUCAAAUUAAAUUUUAAUGGCUCUUUUUUUGGAAAUCCAAGGCCUUCAAGGGUUUGGUGUGUAUGUCGCAAUCACAAAGAUCAGAUAAUUUUUUGUUAUGAUGGGCCUUGUGGGGUGGUUACAACUAUUCAUACUGAAUUUGAAUCUUUGCUACAAAUACUACGGAUCCAUAGGGAUAGAGGAUUAGAGAAAAAUAUGAUUAUUGAAGGAGACUAUCACAAGGUCAUUAAUUGGUGAAAGGUUUGUUAAUACCUCUUUAAUGACUUUUAACCUUAUUGCACAAAGUGAUGAGUGAUCUUUUGGUAUUAAUAUUGCCUUUCAUCACAUUUAUAGGGAAGCAAACUUUAUUGUCGAUGAUUUAGCUAAGAAAGGAGUACCGAUGACCUCUUUAUAUUUAUCUUCUUUGUUAUUGUAAUUUUUGUUGUAAUCUUGUUUGCUUUUAAUAAUAUUUGUUACUCUUAUAAAAUAAAAUAAAAUGUUUUGAUGGGGUUAUAGCCCUAUCAAUAUAAGUAAACCCUCUCUUCAAAAUUGAGUAAAAAUUGUUCUUGUGUCAGAAAGCCUUCAAAUCAAUUAUCUCGGCCUUGACCAUUACAGCUGUGAAAACAAAUUUAGAUUUCAAACCCCUAAAAAUAGUGUAUAUUGUAACAAAUUAUCUAGACCGUCUAUGUCACCUUAAAAAUAAAUGAUCAUGGAUCUAUAAGAUUUAUUAAUUUAUUUUUAUAAAACCUAGUCCUUAAAAAAAUAUCAUCCCAUAAAGAAAAGGAUGAGGGUUUUAAAAGGCCUAGGCUUUAUGAAAACAAAAUAAAACCUCACCUCAAAUCUUCUUUCGAAAAGUACUUUCGGUGACAAACAUCUCUAUGAUGGAUCUAAAAUUAAUUUUCAACAUCGACAAUAAAAUUUCAAGCUAAAAAGUGAUAAAGAUCUUGCGAUAUGUGAACACUUAUUGCAAUUUUGGAAGAGACAUCAAUGAGGAUUUACUUAUUAGAAAAGGUGUAUAUAAGGUGGUUAAGGUGCACCUAAAAGGGAAGGUUGUUCCUUCAAAACUCUCAAGUUGUUCGUAAGUUUGAAAACUCUCAAAUUGGUCAUCUGAAGGUUCGUAUACAUCAAGAAAAGGGGAUUUUUACUCGAAAAAAAGGCUCAUCUUCUAAUACAUUUUUUUUAUUAUUUAUUUUUAAGAUUUUUUAAGUGUUAAUAAAUUUGCUUGAUCAUCACUAUUUUUGGAACUUUAAAUUUUAUAAUCAGAAAAAAUAGAUUUUGUAAGGCUUUAUAGCACGGAAACUACAUUUUCUGAAUAGUUUUGAGGUAUAUCUUACUUCAAUAGUAUAAGGUUGCAGCCCUGUAAAACCAUUUUCCAAAAAAAAACAGAGAGAUAUUUACACAAUAAAAACACACAGCUUUUGGGAAAGUUUGGCGGAGUGGCCUUGUUUCCAUUGGACAAUUCUCCAUACAAAACAUGUGCUCACUUUUUUAAGGUGAAAUGAUUGUUUUGCCCUUCAAUUGACCAUCGCUGUAUAGGUCUUGGCCUUCUCCGUGGACAAAACGAUCAAAUUGGUCCAGAGCUUGAGCAUCACAGCAAUGGCGGAUGGCGCAGAGGAGUUGGGUCUUUUUGCCCCUUACACCAUGGGCAAGUUCAAGCUUUCACACAGGUAUGUCAAAAGUCAAAACCUAUAGGCUUUUAUCUCUCUAAACUUAGGGGAGAUUGCAUUUUAUUGGCCUAAAUCCCUAAAUACUUGUCUCACCCCCCCCCCCUUUCUGUGUGUCUGUUGAUAUUAUAAAAUACACAUGAUUGUCUCUUUCUCUCUCUAAAUAUUGAUGAUUUCGCCCAUGUAUUUCUCUCUCUAGAUCGGUAAGGAAAAACCCAUGAUUCCCUCUCUGCUCAACUUUUGCUCAAAGUAUCGCCAUGAAAGUACUUAACAGAGUCUCAUGGUUCUUCUAAUUUUCUAUUUUUUAUUGAAUUUUUAUGGAAUGUUGGGUGUCUGAUUUUUGUUUCCUUAUUUAAGUUUGAGCUAUUUUGGGGGGGACAAUUUACCCCCCAAAAAAAAGAAACAAAAUUCUUUCUCUCUAGAUCAGGGGAGAUUUCCAGAGCAAGCAUUUUUAAUUUGUAAUUUCAAACUUUAAAAAUGUAAUUUGCAUUUUUCUUUAACUUUUUCUACUUUUUACAAAACUCUAAAAUUUGUUUUCUUCCCUUAUGUAAAUUUAAUGGAUAAAUUACCAAAUUUAGAUAAAAAAGAGGAGAACAAAAAUAACACGCGACCUUUAUCGGCUUCGUACUCUCCACUGCCCAUCUUGGUAAUGAGCGGUUGAGAUGCGUCCCGGCCACCACAAAGACAUCAAAAUUAUUGUAUGGGAAUAAUUGUAGAAUUGAAGAGGAAGAAGAGGUCUACAUACACAAGCGUCGUAUCGACUACCAUUUGUCAUCUGCCGUCCAUUUGUGACGAUGGGUGGUGCUCGCAUGGGGUAUAUUUUUGUUGACAAAAGCUGUCCGUAUGUGCCAUACACCAUAUUCUAUUGUUGUAUGUGCUGCUUUUCCUUUAAAAUAGGGAAAAAGUUUAUAUAAGGGCGAGGCCCUAAACAAUCAAAUUAAGGCGAACCUAAAAAAUUCACUAAAAGAGGUUUUAAAAAACCCUAAAUUCGAUCAUCUCAACCUCUAGAUGUAUGAACACGAGAAAACAUAGAUUUCAAAUUUUAAAAAUAGUGCAUCUUAAGAUGUGUUAUCUAGAUGGUCAAUUUUUUUAAUUUUUAAGUGUUCAUAGAUUUACUCGAUCUACACUAUUUUUGGAUCUUUAAAUUUUAUAAUUCAUGACAAAAAUAAAUUUUAAAGCCAUCAUAAAAAUUUAUGAUAGUGAGACAACAUAUUCCAGCACUAUUUGAAGGUGCGCCUUACUUUGAUUGUUUAGGGCCUCAACCUUACGCAAACCACACCCUUUAAAUAAUUGCAACAGCCUGUUUCUCAAUAAUUGGAGAGUGAGGCAAUUUGAACCUUGACCUCCAUUAAACAAAUUGGAGCUUUCUGAGAGAGAGGCAGUUUGAACCUUGACCUCCAUUAAAUACAUUGGAGCUCUCUCUAACCAUGAGAGAGAGAGAGGCACUUUCAACCUUGACUUCCAUUAAACAAAUUGGAAGAGAGAAGAGAGAGAGAUUCUUUGAUAUGUUGGAAUAUAUUGUAAGGUAAGGUUUUGAAGUUUACACACUCCAUAUCAAGACCCAUACCAUCUCAGAGCCGGUUCAGUCCUGAUUCGAUUCCCUUUCGAAUUGAUGAUCCCAAUCAGACAUAGCCAGGUUUUAAAACAUUGAUACAAAUCAAAUAUCUUAGAAACCAUAAGGCACUUUUAUUGCUUACUUUAGUUAAAUACAACAUCACCAUAGCCAUACAACUCAUGCCACUUACUUAAUUUCCACUUUUGCCUCUUCUCUUUGUGAAGAAUUGUUCUAGCCCCCAUGACAAGAUGCAGGGCCAUAAAUGGAAUUCCACAGCCCGCAAAUGUGGAGUAUUACUCCCAAAGGACUACGCCUGGUGGAUUCCUCAUCACAGAAGGCACCAUCACCUCUCCUAGGGCAGCUGGGUAAUUAUACACUCUUCUAUACAUAUAUCUCCAUUUUGCUCAAUAUAUUAUAUUGGAUUUGAUAUUGUUUAGCUCAAUAUAAAAGGAUUAUUGUGUAGUAUAAGACAAUUUGCUUUGGCUGCAAUCACUUGUAGUCGUAAAUGUAAAAUCCUAGUUGUUGGAUGUAAAAUAUGACAACUUGAGGUGUGUCCUCCAUACUUUGAGCCUAGUUAAUGGCAAUCUCAAAGUACUUGAUUCACACCAUACGACUAAGGUUGAUUGUGACGUCCUUAUACCAAAAGCGAAUAUCUUAUUGUUCACUUUCCAUGUAUAAUAAAAAAUUAUAAGGAAUAAAUUUACACAAGAUAUCAACCUAUUACUUUUAAAAUUAUUUAUAAAAGAGAAAUGGUAUUUUGCUGUUUUAGCACCCAAAUUUGAUGUCAGAACCCUUUUAAAAAUUAGUAGGUUAUGACUGCUAUCACUCUAAGAACAUGAAUAAUCAUAUUUAACAUAAAAAAAUCAACAAUUAUAAAACAUUGACUUUGUUAUUUUUUAUUUUUGCUUGUUUAGUUUCCCACAUGUCCCUGGGAUUUACGCAGAGGAGCAAAUCACUUCAUGGAGGAAGGUUGUGGAUGCAGUGCAUGCUAAGGGGGGCAUUAUCUUUUGUCAACUAUGGCAUGUAGGAAGAGCUUCAAAUGAAGGUUAGUUUGUUAAUCUUAGGUUCACCAACUCACAAAAUUUCCUAAUUAAGAUUGUGAUUAUUUUAGAACACGCUUUUUUUUUUUUAUAUUUCAGAUGUUGAUCAAACUCUGGUCAUUUUCUUACUGCGUCUAAUCAAGAUUGACUACUUAAUUCUGAUUGAUUAGAAAUAUAACACUUAAGGGAUUAGGCUUAUUGCUCUUUAGAAAAUCAAGGGCUUUUAGGGUAUUCAAAAGGUAGAUAAGUGUUUAUUUAAGCUUUCACACUGCAACAGCAUGGUUUCCCUGACAGUGAUAAGGCGGAUUUCCUUGUUCUUCUUCCUCACCUUUGUUUCAUAGACACAUAUCCAUGUGUUGUGUUGUUAUUUGAAAUGGAUAUAUGUUAGAAAUGUUAAUCUUAUAAGUGAAUAUGACACGACCGUACACCAUUCAAAGAGAAGAUUUGACAGCUUGAUCUGCUGUCACGGUGGAGUGUUGUUCAUGCACAUCGAUGUCUCAGGUUCGUAACCUAGCUGGACUGACACGGACGCCCCCCUCUCUCUUUCUAAAAAAAAAAACAGUUUACAAAGACGAAGUGUCAGAUACAACCUCAUGUCCUUGGUUUGUCAACACUACAAAUAAAAAAAAGACGACACUUGUCCACAUCCCGUAGGUUCAUACUUGUUUUCCAUGCUAAUAAUGUUUAAUAUUAUCUAAUCCAAAUUCUCUCUCUCCCUCUCAUCAUGUCUUCCUUUUGUCGUUGCCUUCACUUUUUUCCUUCUUGGCUCAGUGUACCAGCCCCAUGGUGCAAGUCCAAUUUCUUCAACAAACAAAGCCAUCUCCAAUAGAUGGAGAAUACUGCUACCGGAUGGAACUUAUGGAGACUAUUCCAAGCCUGUACCAUUAAAACAGUAUGAGAUAUCUCAAAUGGUUGAGCAAUAUCGACAAGCAGCCAUAAACUCUAUUCGAGCUGGUAAUUUUGAAAUUGAACCCAUUGAACUUCAUAUAUAUAUAUAUAUAUAUAUAUAUAUAUAUAUAUUUAUUUUCUUAUUUAUUUAUUUUUCUUCCAUAAUACAGGUUAAGUCACUCUUUCUCUUUCUCUUAAUUCAAUUAGCCAUGGCCCUCCCUAAUCCUCUUAUCCCACAGGCUUCGAUGGCGUGGAGAUCCACGGUGCCCACGGUUACCUCAUAGACCAGUUCCUCAAAGACGGCAUCAACGACCGCACAGAUGCUUAUGGGGGCCCCCCUGAAAAUCGCAUAAGGUUCGCAAUCGAAAUCACAGAGUCUGUCGCCUCUGCAAUUGGACCCCACCGAGUCGGCAUCCGAAUCUCUCCCGCCAUCGACCACCUCGAUGCCACCGACUCUGACACCCUCACUCUGGGACUGUGCCUAAUUCACCACCUUAACAAACUACAAAAUGACUUUGGAGAGAAGCUAGCUUACCUCCACAUAACCCAACCAGAUACACAGCUUAUGGCAAGAAGAAACUCCAAGAAGAAAGUGAAGAAGAGAGAGAAGGCAGGUUGAUGGCCAGUUUUAGAGAGGCCUAUGAGGGGACAGUAAUUAUGAGUGGUGGGUUCACUAGAGAGCUCGGAAUGGGUGCGGUGGCUCGAGGCGAAGCCGACCUAGUCUCGUAUGGGAGGCUCUUCAUAUCUAACCCGGACUUGGUCCAUAGGUUCAAGGUGAAUGGGCCCUUGACUAAGUAUAACAGACCCACAUUUUACACCCAUGACCCGGUUGUAGGGUACACAGAUUAUCCAUUUCUUGGUGAAGGGCAUGAUGGUUAUUUGGACAGAUCCAUGGAAAUGAAGGCAAGGUUAUGAGACGUGUUUUGUAUUGCAGUAUAUUAAGGAUUGUCCUUUGUGGUACACCGGACUUCAAGCUAAAAGAUUUUAUGCUCCCGCUGGAGUAUUUUGUACAUUCACUGUUUUAAGUAUUUUUAGUGCCCAUAUAUUAGGGGUGACCAACUAAAAAAAAUGCACUUACUCUGAAGGUGCUUAAAAAAUAUGAGCUUAAAAGUUAACCAACCAUGGAUAGUUAGCUCGAUAGUUAGCUCUUAAGUGUUCCAAAAUUGACAUUCAAAUUUGUUUUUUCUUUUUUUUUCAAAUAAUAAUACUGUGAUUGUAAAGUAGAUCAUCCAGAGGGAAAUAACCCUCCUAAGCCAGUACUAUGUCUAAGAGUGUAAGUGUAUAAUGUGCUCUUGCAGGAGUACACUAUUAGCACUGGAACUUCAAUAUCGCACUUCCUUGAGGGAUGCCUCUAUUUCUAUCAGCAGUGGGUUCCCUGAUCUCUUUAAGAUAACUGUAGAUUGCUGGUAAUAAGAUAUAAAUAAUUUAUGCGAUACCUUUUUGUGAAGAAAUGAGAAAGCAAUAGAUGCUUUUCUUCUUCUUCUUCUUCUUCUUUCUUUUUUUUUUUUUAUAAGAGAGAAAUAGAUGCUUUUUUCUUUCAUUCAGUUUUGUAAAACAAAAAAAAAACAAAAGGGUGACUCACUCUAAUCCAAGGAAGACUCGGGCUAUUUCGAGAUGACCAGAUGGUUUACUUUAAUCAAAAAAAGACUCGGGCUAUUCCGAGGCGACCAAAUGUUUUCCCAAAUUGUUAUGCCACAAGGUGUAAGUGAAACUAGAGUAAUGUUCAAAUGAAUGCACGCCCCUUAAGAGUAUUGGAUUGAUUUUGGAAUGACUUCACAAAGUAGCAUAAGUGAAAUCAAAUUUGAACCGAGCGGCAGUUGGAGAGGAAAGUUGAUAACUAUACCCUGCUCAACCUUGAUGGCAUCUUUAUGAAUGAUCCGGCUGAAGAGCUGGUGGUAGAAGAGGAGGAACCAGUGCUUAACGGCAACACGUAACGAAGAAGGAGAAGGUGAUAACCACGGCACGAGGAGCAAACAGGAAAUGUAGCACGAGGAGCUAACAGGAAAUGUAGAUGCGUGAUUGUCUGUAGAGGGAAUUAGGGGAGGUGAUGGAGGAGGACAUGGCAAGGCAAUGAUGAUGAUUUAGAGGCCACCUAGUUCCAGCCAGGCAUGGAUAUCACACAAGGGAGCCUAAGCCCAAGCCCAGCAGCAAUAGCAAUGCAAACAGGGUCUUUAUUUUUUUUAAUUUUAUUUCUUUUAAGAUAUUAAAAUUUAGGCUUGGGUUAUAUUGGAUUUGCAAUAUUCUUUAGGGUUGUUUAUAUCUUUUUUGUUUUAGGGAUUGAGGGACAAAAUUAGAAGAUUUAAUAUCAAUUAAAUUUUUUUAGGGAGAAACUUAGAUUUUAAGUUUUUUUUUCUUUUAGAAAUAUGUAACUAUUAGAAUAGGAAAUAUUAUUGAAGAGAAUAAGAGUUUAUUUUAGAUCUUGUGAAGAGAUUUUUUUGAAGUGGACACCCUUGCAAAUACUAUUGCAACCACUAAGAGAGGGUAUACCCUUUCAUUUAUUUAGUUUCAUCUUUAUUUUUUAAUUUAUUUAUUUAUUUAUUUUCCGUCUUCCCUACAUCGAUUGAUAUCAACGCUUAUCUCUACAUCAAAUAGAGUGGGGCGAGCACGAAUGGUGCACUCAAAGGGACUUAGAGAUGGCAGUAAAACAAAUCUGGCUGCUUAUAAGGCCCUAAAUAAAAAUUUAUUGCAUACUUUUAAUUUGAAAACCUAGGAGCUUAGAAGCCAAGGAGAUUAAUCAUGUGCCUAAAUGGCACUUAAAAAGAGCUACUGCCCAUUAAACCCUAAUUAGAUUGGCAUAGAACAACUAAUGAUGCCUUAUUUUGUGCUUCCGUUUUAUGCGUAAAGAGCAACCAGCAGAACUGAUGAUGCAAUUCAACCAAGUGAACCGCAAAGCUUUGGAUGCGGGUUUUCUUUUCUUCUGAUAAAAUUUUGGCAAAUCUGUAAAAUGAACACAACCAUAACAUUCAAAAACAUAAACCAGCAAAUGCAUGAAAAGAUAGGCUUUUGUGAACAAAAAGAAGUACAGAACUCUGUUACUUACUCUAUUAAAGCGCCACGAUUGGUGACUCCAUCGCCAACCGGUUCAGCUAAACCAGUCUCCAGGUUCACCCUUUUCACAGAUUCAUCCAAAAGACAUUUGCCUCUCACUUCAAGCUCUUGGACGUUUUUAUCGCUUGCAUCAUCCAUGGCUAAGUUUUGAUACGGUAGUUCGUAGUCCUGUGUCCAAAAGAUCUGGCAUUUGUCCAUGGCAUGUGUAUGUGUCUGUGUGCGUGUUUUGCAAUAUGAGUCAACUAACAUGAACAUACAAGUUUUCUUGUGUUCUCCACUUGCCUCAAUGCGAAGGUAUUUACUUUCGCGAUUGAUGGAUUGAAAGAUUGUGGAGACGUGGAUAUCCACCAUGUCUGAGCCUGCCUCCAUUAAUGCAUCAAUCAGAGGAUUUUUGUUGUUGUUAGCCAACCAUUUCACAAGCCCCCAUGUCGCUGCAUCCUUCACAUGAAUCCGGUCUUUCGGUUCAAAUGUACCCGUUCCUAAGUGAUAGAACGAGGUGUGUUUUGUUCAAGUCCUUUGGUUCUAUGAGUCUAAAAUCUGCACUAUUUUGUAGCACCUCCCUUGCCACUUCUCCGAUCGCCACCAAAGUCUAAAACAUCAACCGACCAUACAAAAUCAUCUCGAUCAGAUUUGGGUACUCAGCAUAUGCAUAUAUCUAACCACCAACAGAGACUGAUCUGUAAAAAUUUAUUUGAGGAAAAAAAUAAGUUUAUAAAAUGUCAUUACAAUGAAAAUUAUUUAUGAGCUUUCCAAUAGUGAUUUUUAAUGUAUGCUCUUAAUGGUGUGCAAUCAUUGAUGGAAAAUAUGUUGUAGUACUGGCAUCCAUGGUGUUAGAUGCAUUCAAUAAACGAUUUAUUUUUGUAAGGAAAAAGUUUACAUAAGGGUCAAUCUUAUAAUGUAGAAGUAAGAUACACCUCAAAAAUCUAUCCAAAAAGGUUGCUAUCCUUCAAGUGAUCAUCUUUACCUCAUGAUAUAUGGAUAUACAUAAAUAAUAAUAAUAAUAAUAAAAUUAAGAGAGAAUAUCAAGUCCUAAACGUAGUGCAUUUUGUAACACAUUAUAUAAACCAUCCAUUUUCAAAAAAUUUAAUUGUUUGUAUAUGCUUGAUCUGUACUAAGGUUGAUGCCUUAUGGAAACUUCACCCCUUUUAUAAUGUCUGGAAUCUAAGAGUUAGCCACUGGCAAGGCUUGGUGGGGCAGGGAUGGCAACUUUGUUGUGUAGGGAAGCUUUAAACCCAGUGGGUUAAUAUUCAGCAAAUAAAGUAUGAAAAAUAAAGCAUGAAACAUAUACCACAAGAAUAUAAAUAUUUAUGUGGUUCACCCCAAAAAGGCCACAUCCAGGAGCACAACAAACNNNNNNNNNNNNNNNNNNNNCAUACCUUCCACAAUAGAGAUUUCUCUCAUUAGAUUACUACAAUCUCAAGGUGAAUGGGAAUGUGGGUACAAAUGGCUACCAUGUAGCUCAAACUAGACCCUGACCACUCUCUUGCUCUUGUUGUGUCUAGUGUUGCGUAUUAGUUGUAAUCAUGUUUUAAAGCAUGGGUUGGACCAAUGUUGUCAGAAUCCUUUCGAAGUCUUUUUUUGGUUUGGUGAAAAAAAUGAAGCACUUCGAUGCUUCGACCCCAAUUCAGGGGAAGACUUUGAAUUUUUUUUUAAAUUUAAUAUCAAUAAAUUAGAUAUUUAUAUAUAAAAUAUAUAAAAAUAAUAAAAAUAAAAAUACUUUUAUAUAGGUAUUUCUUUUCUGAUCAAAGCAAAUUCGAAGCAGACCGAAACAGCCCGAAUCGGCAGCAACAUGCUUCUCUUCGCUUCGGUUUAUGCUUAAAAUCUGAAAGCUUCGGCCUCUCUGACUGAAGCGAAGCCAAUUUGAUAACAUUGGGUUGGACUUGGAACUCGUGCCCUGCUCAAGCUAAAUGAACUAGGGUAAUUCUGAGUCGACUCGUCCAAGUCCCUUGGAAGCCUUGCAAAGGGCCAAAAAAUAAAAAGUAAGAAAAGGGAAAAGUACUAAAGAUUUGGUAAAAUUGGAAGAAAAAAAAAAAAAUGAUAAACAACAAAAAAGCAUAUAUAAGAUGUGAAAAAAGUUUUCAAAAUAUAGAAAACUAAUUAAAUAUUAUUUUUCUCAAAAUGACUAAGAAAAUUGGGGAUAAAAUAGAAAAUUUCAUUAAAAUUCAUAAAAUCAUAUGAAAAUUUAAUUGAUUCACACAAAGGGGGGUGUUCCGGACUCAACAGCCUGCCGAGUCUGAGUAACUUGGGUGAGUCCGAGUGAACUCACAUGAGUUUCUUUGUCACUGAUUGUAUUAGAUGUUGCUAUUGGACUGAAACAUGUCCUGCUUUUUAUUUUAAAAAUACUGUAAAUAAGGAUCAUAAUUUUAGAAAUUCCCUCCAAUAAAAAAUAAUUUAAGAUGUUUUGUCGUCAUUUUCAGUUUUUUUUUAUAUUUACCCCAUUUUCCAUUUCUUACCAAAAUUCCCCAUUUCAUGACAUUAACGGGUGUAUACCAACCGUUUCAUUUAACUUUAUUGCAAGGAGGUCACAAUUACUCAUAAUCAUUAAAUGUUAAAUUGGAUAGCUUUAGAUAUGAAGUUCGAAAAUUUUAUUUUUUGAGCUUUGAAUCGAAUCAAUGACAUACAACUACCCGAAUUGAAAUCUCACCGGUAAGAGUGACUUGUGACAUCCUUCUUCUAAAAAUGAAAAGUCUCUUUUGUAUGCCUUUCUUUACUUAAAUUACUUUGUAGUCUUGCAUCUUAAAGAUGAGAGUCAUUCUCAUACUAAAACAUAAAAAUAAAGUAUGACUAGACAAAUCAAACCCAUUGGGAGUGCAUGUCUUAACAAAAAAAAGCAUGGAAAUUGAUCCAAGCACUUUUAUACUCCAAAAUCAAAACAAAAUAGGAAAACGCUCAUCUAAGGGUGAGGCCCUUAACAAUCAAAUUAAGGUGCACCUCAAAAAUGGUUUUUUCAAUGCCUAGAAAUCCUCCAAUUGAUCAUCUCAACCUCAAAAUAUAUGGACAUGAAAAAAAAAGAGGAUUUCAAGUCUAGAAAUAAUGCAUCUUGUAAUGUAUUUUUGGACUGUCAAUUUUCAAGAUUUUCAAGUGUUCAUAGAUCAUCUCAAUCUACACUAUUUUUGAAGGUUUAAAUUUUAUAAUGAGGAUUACAGAUCCCUACCUGCUUUGGAAUGAGUCAAUUUUUUGAAAGUGUCAGCGAAAAUGGAGCACCUCAACAAGGUUCCCAAUCCAAGUAGACUCAGUCAAGUUUCUUCGACACCGAUUCACACACACCCAUCCAUUGCAGAGGACAUGUGGAGGAAUGAUCCAUAACUCCUCUCAAAGCCUUCAAAUACUUAUCAUUUGUACUCAUACUGAUGAGCACAAAUGAUAGAACAUUUUGUGAGAAAAGUGUGAAAUCGUAAUUGACAUACAGGAUCGUUGGCUGCAAGACCACCACUGACAAGUUCGAAUUUUUUGGAACAUUUUGUGAACUCAUGAGGAGGAAAGUAAGUAGGUGCAGCAGUUGUGCCAAUACAUACAUCUGAUAACGAGAAAUCCCUUGAGUUGCAAGCCCUCUUUCCCUGAUAACAAGAAAAAAAAACAGGGGUCAUAUUCAACUUCAUCUUCUGCUUUGAAGUUUUGAGAUCCAUCAUAGAGGCUCAACACUCAAUACAAUCACUCGUCAGGGCCAUCAUCAUCUCCACUACCAUAUAAGGCCAUCAACAUCUUCUUUCUUCUUUUUCUAAAGAGUAAUUUACAGACACCAAAAAAAAAAAAUGAAAUGACCAAUUUCGGUCAACCUUUAAUUUUUUUAUUUUUUCAAAAUUACCUUUCGGUCCAAUAAGCUUUUUAUUUUAUUUUUUUCCGUUUUUUGAAAUAGGGUUGUACCCCAAGUUUUAGGGCAAUGCCUACUCGGUCCAACGAUAGAAACCUCAUACUGCUCCUUAGACUAAGUAGAGCUCAUGAGGGGUUUGAGGUUCUCAUCCUAGGACCGGCCACAUACUCAUUUGGGAAUGAAAACACGGGCGGUCCAAAGAUAAGAAUCUUGGACCGCUCCUUAAUCUGAACAAAGCUAAGUUCUAGAACAGUGUGAGGUUCCCGUUCUAGAACAGUGUGAGGUUCCCAUCCUCGAAAUGUCCCUAAUCUCAUUUGGCAAUGAAGGAACAAGUUGUUCAAGGAUAGGAACCUCCCUCACUGGUCUGCUGCCCUAAAACUUGAGGCAAAACCUUAUCUCGAAAAAAGUUUAAAGAAAAAAAUGAGGCUAACCAACCUUCGGCUUAAUUUUCACACAAUGCUGCGGCCGUGGGAUUACAUUAUGUGAGUAGGCUGCAUCGAACAAAUGUCCAAAGUGGGGAUGACCACAUUGGUAGUCGUCUUCGCCAGAGUAGUUUCUCUCUUACCAGGCUUUGUAAUCUCACUCCCUCAUAUUUGGGGCCGCACAUUGAAUGCAGAAAUGUGAAGAAAGCUCCAAUACGCGUAAAGAUACUUCUGAUGCAUUCAAAUGGGAUGCACCCACACGAGCAUCUGGUAUGAAAGGUUCAAUAUAUGCCUCAAAUUUAGGGCUCGCAAAGGACCUGCAUUGCCCUACUCCAUGUCCCGGCCCGACCCGAACUAGGUCUGAGGAGUCCUUGCCCAAACCUUGCCCGACCUUGGACAGGGGCUGGGCAGGGCCAGAUAGACUCGAAGAGGGGGAAAAUGAAAAAGGAAAACACGGGGGCUCGCCUCGGCUGGCCCUAUUCUCGCCUUGCAGAGGCUCGACAUGGUCCUUGGGCCGUGGUGGUCCCAACUGUGGCCUGGCCUUGAGCCAUAUUUUGUGGCCCAUGUAGGCUGCCCAACCACCCCAUCCCCAAUCUAUACCUAAUUUGCAUAAUGUAUGAUCUUACAAAUAGGAAUAGCCUAGGUGCUAGGUUAGUAGAGUGUGACAAUGCGACGUCUUGAGUUUCUUUCCCAAUAUGGAUAAAGAACUCUUUGUCUACUGAGCAACUACAAAACAAAAAUAUGUUCAUACAAUUAAUUAAGCAAUGAUUAUUAUAGGGUAUGUCACUAUAAUGGUGAACUUAAAUUUUUUAGUCUAAAACUUUAGGCUACAAAAUGCCUUACAAAUCUAACAAUUAUACUAUCAAUAACUUGUUUGAGAAUUAGACUAUGCAUGUGAAGAAUUAGCUUACCCCAAUUCGUUGGGAAAAGACUUUGACGAUGAUGAUGAUAAUGUUGCGAAGAAUUACUUGCAACAAAGUGAGAAAAUCUCCUUGCUGUAAGCACGAUAGAAUUGAACAAUGUCUCGGGCAAGGUAUUGAGGGCUUUCAUCAUCGGGGCUUGGUUAACAUGGCGGUAAUGAGACCCCCAGUACUCGUUCCAACGAUCACAUCGAAAUAGUCAGAAAUUCUUGCUUCUUUUCCAUCCAACUUAUGGUAACAAAAACAGUAUAAUUACACAAUGUGCAGUGAGCUAAAACAAUAGAGAUGAAAAGUCGUAAGUGUAUAAUACUUAAACUAUUGCAUUUAACCAAAUAAGAGAUGGUAGUGUCAAGAAAAUCGACUCAGUCAAGGUAUUUGGCCUUUGCUCAAUUCGAGUCCGAAUAUAAUUCAUGUUAAAAAUAAAUAAAAAAUAACAUAAAAAUUAAUUUAUAUAUAUUAUAGUCUUCGUUUUUAUGGGAUUGAGCGUUAAAUGACCUAAUAGUCAAUUCCUCCGCCCUCGGAUUCCUCUGUGCAAGAUGAUAUGGAUUCGAAUACUCAACCCGCCUAUUUUCAAUUUAUAUUUUCUAUUUUCUUAAAAAAGGGUAGCACAGGAAUAAACAUAAUGCUUUUGCUGAAAAGGAAAUUCUGGUGGUGUGUUGGUUAAAGCGGUAAGCUCUUAGAAUACCUCUUUAUAUGAGGUCUUACUCCUUUUUUUUUCUUAAAAAAAAAAGAAAAAGAAAAAUAAAAGAAAACCCCUUUUUUCUUCUUAAAAAAAAAAAGAAAAAGAAAAAGAAAAAAAAAGGUUUAACGAAAUGCAAGAAGAACCAUAAGUAGCACACAAACCAAUGUAUUACUUGAAUGUUUAUGUUAAAAUUUGGCACAUUAUUAUAUAUAUAACAUAUUAAUAACGCCUAUACUGUGUACUUGAGGCAAACUCGCCUCGCCCCGAGUUACUUGGCCUAUUCUGAGUAGUCCCGGCCGUGUCUCAAAACACUAUUAUAUAGAACAUAUUAAUAACGCUUAUACAAUGUACUUGGGGCAAAGUCACCAUCGCCUAUAGGGCGAAGCCGAGUUACUUGGCGGAUUCCGAGUAAUCCCGGCCAAGUCUCAAAACAUAGAGAGAAAGAAAUGAGACAAUAAUGGAUGCAAGAGAGAGAUCAUGAUGAACUUGAAGUUCUUCCUCCAAGGCUGUGAGAAUGACUGCAGGAAUCAUUCCUCUAACUCCUCCACCAUCGAUGCUAAGAAUGGUGAUAAAAUUUCCAAAGUUUGGGUAUACAAUUGCCAUUACUGCGAUUUGAGUUUCGAGCUCUAGGCCUGGUUUUGUGUUGCCAAGACAAAGGACGUUCAUGGCCUAUUUAUAGACUUCCUAUGUAGUACAUUUCUAGAGAGUUGAGAGCGUGGAGUACAUUCUAGAUAGAAAGAGAGCCAUUAAAUGAGAUAAUUGCAGAGAAAAUAAGUUAGAAAAAAACGAGAAAUAGCCCAUCGUGUUACACGUUUGUUAUAUACCUUUUUUUUUUUUUGAUGUUGCUAUCUACCAAUUUUAUUUCCAGAAGCAAAUUUGAUGGAGAUAGAUUUCCCUCGAAGUGAAAACUCUUACACAUCUCUACCAGUAUGAGAUAGAUUUCCCACGAAGUGAAAACUCUCGAUUUGAGGACAUCUUAGGACCGAAUUUUAUUUAAAUUUUUCGUUAGUAGGGGAUUACCCUAAAGUUUGGGGCACUGCCCUACUAACAAAAAAACUAAAAAUAUAUAAAAAUAAAAUAAGGUGACCAACCUUAAGGUUUUAAGGACAUUUUAGUUAAUUUAUUUCAUGAGAAAUGUAUUGUUUAAAUGUGCAUGGUUGAGAGUCGUGGGUACCAAAAUUUCAAAUUAUCCUAAUUAAGAAUGAUUAAAAACAAAUUAUUAUUUGUAAUCCUGACUACUCAUUUCUUUUAGGUUGUCAACAGGUUCUGGUCCACCACCCAACCCGACGACUAGGGUUUGAGUUUGGUUCCAACUUUUAGACUCGAUGGGUUGAGUCUAGGUUUAGAAGUAUAGACGCGUCGGGUUGGGUCUAGGUCCAAUCAAGACCUAAUCAGGUCAAGCCUGACCUUCCUCGUUAUUUUCUAUAUAGAAGUUUACAUUUAUACGACAAAAUACACAUAAUAGACAUUUAUUAAAACACACAUAAGAUAUCAACUAGUUGACAUUUUGCUCAUAUCUUUUGAUUUAAUUUAAUAAUACUUAUAAAAAUACACAUGACCGUGAGUUGGAAUAGUUGCAAAGAGGUACAAUAUUAAAUUAUUAAUAAGUUUGGGGUAUUUUUUUAAAUUCCCCUAUAUUUUUUAAAAAACUAUAUCUUAAUCCAAACCCAACCCUACCCAACCAGAAGGGUCCAAGCCAAACCCAACCUUCCUUGAUUUUGUCAAGUCCCAGCCUGGCCUUGGCCUGAACAGUAGAUAUGCAACCUUCAACGGUUCAGAUUGAACCCAGCCUCAUUUAAUGUCCACAAAUAAUAUUGUUUUUUAUGUAUUAUUUUUAUUUUAACAUAUAUAUUUGAAAUUUAGGGCCUAGAUUCAUUUUUAUAUGGCAUACAAAAUAACAAUAGUUAAAACUUAUUUUUACCAUAUCCAGAAGAUUUCUCAACUCGGACUGCCAUUUUGGUGGUCCAAGGCUUGGGCGACACUAGGAGCGUCGCCCAGGCCAAAAUGGUCCAGGUUCAUUGUACCUAACAAAAAAUGAUUUGGGAGGUGUUGGCAUGUGGAAAUUGCCAAUUUGGGGCAGUCGGGUAGUGUCGAGACCAAAUUUGCUCAAAAUCGGCAUAUUUAAGUCUGGGGUUAUUUUGAGAUCUUUGGGAUGUUGCCUACCAAAAAUCGGUCGAUUUUGGACCAGUUUGGGCUGGGCGACACUACUGGUGUUGCCCUGGUGAUACUGGUUUUGUCGCCCAGAUAAAAACUAUCCAAAAUAGAAAAUUUCUAGUUUUAGGGAGAUCUAGGGGCUGUGAAGAUACUAUAUGCCAAAAAGAACCAAUUUGGAUCAGUCUGGGUAGGCCGCACGAUACUGGUAGUGUCACCCAAACCAAAACUGCCAAAAAUGGAAAAUUUCUAUUCUUGAUUGAUCUAGGGGCUCUUGUGAUGCUGCCUACCAAAAAUUGGGUCAAAACAAGGUGUUUUGCUAUUUUUAAUGAUUUUUUUACUAAAACAUGGCAUUUUGCAAGAUUCUAGAUCACAAGGCAAGUAUUAUAGACUAUGAUAGUCUAUGGUCUGGGGUUUACUGAGAUAGUGUGAUCCUAAGGGUUCAGGAAUAUCAUAAAAUUUAACAAUUUCAAAAAUGGAUGUCUACAGUUGCCCCUCUUUGGCACUCCCUGUCCUUUGAGGGACAAGUGGGUGGGAAAGAAGUAGACAUUGUAUACAUUUUAUCUUGACGUUUUCAUGGUCAGAGGGCACACCAACUAUCCCUCCAUGACAUUGCGCUCCCCGCUCACCUACCUAAGGCAUUUUCAUCCUAGGGUUUUCGGCGUGAGAUAUCGGUGAGUUGCACAAGCUUGAAACUCAAGUUGGAUUUUCUGGCCAUGCCACUUAACUUCAAGGGUUUUUUACAAUUUCAAAUUCUUAAACUUGAUAUUUACUUUGAUUCCCUUAGGGUUUUCUAAUGUCUUCUAUAGGUUUUACUUGUUUAGGAAAAAGUUUGCCUUGUCAAUUCUAAAGAGAGAGAUGAGGCAACAAAGCAGUAAUCAUCGUAUACGGGUGUCCAAGUUCCUUCGUUCUUUUAAAUCUUUUUAGAAAUUUUGAAAACGAGGGGGAAGUUUGAAAUAGAUCCCAAAGCUUUGGACAGGUCAAGAUUUUAACAAAGAACAUAAAGUUUUUUAAAACACAAGGCAUAUAAUGAAAAUUUUGAAAUGAGAAAGCUUUUUUGAAAAACAGAUUUUUAAUUAGCAGUUUUAGCUCCUACAACCAUGGAGCCCUCUAAGCAGUUUAACGUCAUACAGUGAUGGACGUGUACAAACAACCCUUUACGUGAUAUGGGGCUAGACGUAUAUAGCCGACCUUUUAUGUCAUACAGGGCUAGACAUUUUCUGAAUACACCCGACCUUUAACGUCAUACAGGGUUAGACGUUUCCUAUCUCAACUCUUUUAUGUCACACGAGUUUGACGUUUUCCUAUCUCGAUUCUUUUAUGUCGCACGAGUUUGAUGUUUUCAUGUCUCUACUCUUUUACGUCGCACGAGUUUGACGUUUUCUGUUUCGGCUCUUUUACAUCGCAGGAGUUUGACGAUUUCCUGAAUUGUGAUUUUGGUUGGCAGUUUAAACUUGUGCCACCAGGGAGUAUAUGAAAACUUUUGAAAAUUAAGUGUUUGAAAACAGUCUUUUUCGUAAGAAAACUGCAUAACAUAAAACCAACUUUUGUCCUCGGAACGCUCCGAAAUUGGAGCAGGGAUAUUUUUUAACUAAAUAUUUUGGGCGACACUAGUAGUGUGGCUCAAUUUUUUAAAAAUUUAUUUUAUUUUAGAGGAAAAAGUUGGGGCCNNNNNNNNNNNNNNNNNNNNNNNNNNNNNNNNNNNNNNNNNNNNNNNNNNNNNNNNNNNNNNNNNNNNNNNNNNNNNNNNNNNNNNNNNNNNNNNNNNNNNNNNNNNNNNNNNNNNNNNNNNNNNNNNNNNNNNNNNNNNNNNNNNNNNNNNNNNNNNNNNNNNNNNNNNNNNNNNNNNNNNNNNNNNNNNNNNNNNNNNNNNNNNNNNNNNNNNNNNNNNNNNNNNNNNNNNNNNNNNNNNNNNNNNNNNNNNNNNNNNNNNNNNNNNNNNNNNNNNNNNNNNNNNNNNNNNNNNNNNNNNNNNNNNNNNNNNNNNNNNNNNNNNNNNNNNNNNNNNNNNNNNNNNNNNNNNNNNNNNNNNNNNNNNNNNNNNNNNNNNNNNNNNNNNNNNNNNNNNNNNNNNNNNNNNNNNNNNNNNNNNNNNNNNNNNNNNNNNNNNNNNNNNNNNNNNNNNNNNNNNNNNNNNNNNNNNNNNNNNNNNNNNNNNNNNNNNNNNNNNNNNNNNNNNNNNNNNNNNNNNNNNNNNNNNNNNNNNNNNNNNNNNNNNNNNNNNNNNNNNNNNNNNNNNNNNNNNNNNNNNNNNNNNNNNNNNNNNNNNNNNNNNNNNNNNNNNNNNNNNNNNNNNNNNNNNNNNNNNNNNNNNNNNNNNNNNNNNNNNNNNNNNNNNNNNNNNNNNNNNNNNNNNNNNNNNNNNNNNNNNNNNNNNNNNNNNNNNNNNNNNNNNNNNNNNNNNNNNNNNNNNNNNNNNNNNNNNNNNNNNNNNNNNNNNNNNNNNNNNNNNNNNNNNNNNNNNNNNNNNNNNNNNNNNNNNNNNNNNNNNNNNNNNNNNNNNNNNNNNNNNNNNNNNNNNNNNNNNNNNNNNNNNNNNNNNNNNNNNNNNNNNNNNNNNNNNNNNNNNNNNNNNNNCCGACAUGGGUAGUGUCGCCCAAAAAAUGUUUUUUAACAAAAAAAAAUUUUUGCUCCAUUGCCCUAGUUGUGGGGUAUUUUAUUUGUCAAUUUUUACUUGUGAAAUUGAUUUAUCAAGGUAGAUAGGGACAUUUUAUUUGCACACACUUUUCAUAGUGAAUUUUGACAAACUCAGCCCCCCUAGUUGUAGGGUUUUUGUCUCAAAAUUCCGGUUAUCAGACCGCCAUACAAACACACGGGGAUAGGUUUGCCUAUUUUUGCCUCAGGGGAUCCAUUUGAGAGAAAAAAAGCUCCCAAACUAGCCAUUGUCGUCAUUGGUGAGGUUCACCCAUCUCCGAUAUGUGGUAGUUGCCAGUUAUACUCAUACAACCAUGGAGCGCCUAGCUAGUAUCAAGUCUUCAUAAUAGGCAUAGGAAGUUGGCUUCCAGUGCGAUGCCAGUUCGACUAAAAAUUUAACCUCUUGUAAUGAUCGAGGAAGUCCUUUCUAGAAAGAAACAAAAAAAAAAACUCUUUUUUGAAAAUGGAUGAUUUUAACAGUUAAUUUGAAGGGUGCAAUUAGCAUACGGAUGCUCCGUAGCUGUAGAGGUAAGGUGCACCUUCAAAUUUUAUCAUGGUAUAUAAUCUUGAUAUAAAAUGUACUUAGGAUUAUCUCAAAAUCUAUUUUUAUAUUUAAUUAUAAAAUUUCAAAUAUAGUUAAAAUCAAGUAUAUCUAUAAACAUAUGAAAAUCUUGAAAAUAGACGAUGUAGAUAAUAUGUUGUAAAAUGCACUAUUUCUGAGACUUAAAACUCAUAUAUCUCAAUGUCGAGAUGAUCAAUCAAAGGGUUUUUCAACAUUAAAACUACCUUUUCUGAUGGAUUUUUGAGGUACAUCCAUAGUUCUACAUAUAAGGUUGCAACCUUAUAUAAACGUUUUCCUAAUUUGAAAAGCAUUUUCAAAUAGGGAUGAUAGUUUUUGCCACCUGUGGCCCCUUUGGUGAUCAUUUUCUUUAUUUAUCUUUUAUUUAAAGAUGAUGAAAAUGAUUUCCUUAUGAGACCGUGAGGGCCCAAGAGACUUGACGUUUCCCUUGGCCUUUGGAGCUCUCAACUUAUGUUUCGCAUAAUCAUGACGAGUUCUUUAGGUUAUUGUCGGGCUUCUUUCUUUGAGAGGUCUCGACAUUCUUCUUGGGGUUCAUUGAAGUCUUGGUUCUCCAAUUCAUGUUGCUUUCCCAUAUCUUAUCGAGGUUGGUUCUGUUGGAAACUUGUAGGGAUUAAGAGGAAUCUCCAUCCUCAAGAUCUGUUUAUGCAGUAUUAUUGUGACUUGCAAGCACUUAUUUCAUACUUGAGAUUUUGGACUAGCACCUAUUUUUUGGAGGAAUUUUUAUUUUUAUUUUACCCAUGAUGCCUUUUUAGGUUUUCAACAUGUCUUUUAUUAUUAUUAUUAUUAUUUUAUUUUAUUUUUAUUUUUUAUUUUUAGCCCGUUACGGGUAGUAUUUUCUGAUAUACAUUGCAUUAAUAGGGUCGUUGAAUCCAUACCCCUCAUGAUUUUUUAUUUUAUAAGAAUUGCCUGUAUGUACUCGGGUUACCACGAAUGGCCCCUCCCAAUUAGGUUUGAAUUUGUUUAAUGGGUGUGGAUUUGUAGGAGAGUGGAUGAUCUUCUUGAGUAUCAUGUCUCCUUCUCUGAAUUGUUGAGGAACAACUUUUCUUUAGUAUGCCCUCUCGAUUCUACUGUGAUAUUUUGUGUUGCUCAGAGACGUUUUUCAUCUGGAGUAUCGAGGGCAGCGACUCGUGCUUCGAUCUUUUGUUCAUUAUCUAAUAUUUAUGAACAAGUACUCAGAGAAACAAUAUCUCGACUUCAAUGGGCUGCACAACCUCCAUACCAUACAUAAAUGAGUAUGGGGUCAUGUCAGUAGGAGUCUUAUCAUUUGUUCGAUAGGCCCAUAGUGCGUAAUUUAGCUUUUCAUGCCAAUCUUUGACACCUUUUAUUAUUCUGUCUAUAAUUAUGAGAAGUCCUUUAUUUAUGGCAUCUGCUUGUUUGUUUCCUUGAAGGUAGUAGGAUGUGGAGAAUUUUUGCGUUAUCCCAAAGUUUUUGCACACCCUAAUGACCCUUUCAAUUUUGAAAUUAGUUCCAUUGUCGGUAAUGAUUGAUUCGAGAAUGCCAAAUUUGAAUACAAUGUUGUUCUUUAUGAAACGGGCAACAUACUGACCUUCAACUUUGACAAAUGAUGUAGCAUCUACCCAUUUUGUGAAGUAUUCUACAGCCGUUAGUAUGUAAUAGUGGCCCUUUGAGGCUUUUAGUAAAAUCAUUCUUAUAAUAGCAAGACCCCACAUGGCAAAGGGCCAUACGGGCAAUGUUGAGUUAAGUGGUUCAAACAGUACAUGGAUAAGAUCUCCAUAAAGCUGCUCUUUGGGAUACUUUUUAACAAAUUUUCAACAAUCUUCGACCAUGGUGGUCCAAUAAUAGCCUUGGCGUCUGAUUUUCUGAGCCAAGGUAGCUGCCCCGGAGUGACCUCCUUCAUUGUGUAAGUUAAUACCUGGUUGACUUCUGGCUGAUCGAGGCACCGCAAGAUGAUGUCAUCAAAUGAUUUCUUGAACAGAAGGUCAUCUCUCACUAAGAAACCCAUAAAAAACCUUUGAAGGGCUUCCUUAUCUUUUUUGGUGGUUCCGUCAGGGUAUAACUUAUCUUUUAACAAGGACAAAAUAUCGUGGAACUAUGGUUUUGCCUUGACUAGUGCAUCUGAGGCCACAAAAGACACUUCCUCAUUGUUUUCAUUUUUUUACUCUAUUUCUUUUUCGAUCCUUGGUAGGGAAGAGUCAUGUUUGUACUUGAUGUAAAAUGACAGCAUUGUGAUUUCUAAAGGGAUGUUGACCAUUGAAGCAAGGGUUGUAAGGAUUUCAACAAACUGAUUGUUUUCCCUAGUUACAUACUGAAAGGUGAUUUACUUAAAAUAUUUUAUCAUCUUUUCCACAUUUUCUUGAUAGGGUUUGGGUUUUUCUUCUUUGACCUUCCAAAUCCCUGGAACUUGGUUUAUGAUGACCAAGGAGUCACCAAUGACUUGUAUUUGUUGGAUCUUCAAUUCUAUGACAUUCUCGAGUCUGGCUAUCAAGGCUUCAUAUUCAGCAAUGUUAUUAGCACAUGAAAAAUAGUCUGAUGGCUGUUGGCAUACAAAUCUUCUCGGGUGAGCAUAAUAUAACCCGUACACCUGACCCAUAUUCAUUUAUUGCACUGUUGAAGUAUAGCUCCCAAAUUGAGUCCUCAAUUGUGAAAAGGUCAUCAUUAGGGAUAUCCAUGUUAACGAGAGUGUUAUCUGGCAAUGGACUGUCCGUUGACCAAUUUUUUAGGGACAUAUUCGAUCUCAAACUUGCUUAAUAGCAUUCUUCAUUUUGCCAAACGCCCGUUAAGGACUGGUCUCUUCAAGGUACUUGAGUGGGUCUAUUUUUAGAUGAGCUUAACUGUAUGAUAUAAGACAUAGUGUCUUAAUUUCUGCAUAGCCAACAUAAGCGUUAAGCAAUGCUUCUCCACGUCCAUGUAUCUCAUGUCGUAGUCGAUCAUGGUUUUGCUGAUGUAGUACAUGGUUUGUUCUUUUCCAUGGUCAUCGUAUUGUCUUAACAUUUCCCUCAUGGUUUUAUCUUUCACAGAUAUGUAUAAGAACAUGGGUUUGUCUAGAUUAUGAAGACUAAGGACGGGAGGUUUGCUUAUGUACUCAUUGAUUUAGUCGAAUGCCUAUUGUCAUUCAUCGUCCCAUAUGAAUGGAGUAUCUGUCACACCCCAAGAAUUUACAAUACUGAUAGUCCUGAGAUGUGACAGUCAAAACAUAUAUACAUCUCUUGAUAGACAAAUUUACAGUGGCGAAUUCUUACAAAGUAACGAAAAAAAGUUUAAGCACAACUACAAUAUCUUCCAAAAUCAAGCACUCAAAAUGAAACCGCAGUUAUCCUGAAAAAAUAUUUACCUUUGGCUACUCAGUAAGUGAUCAUCAUAAUCUUAAAAAUAAUCAUGGUUGAAAGAUAUCAAUAUUUUCCAAAAAGGAGAUCUAUUAACAGAAAUGCAUCAACUGUUUCAUUUUAAAAAAUGCAUAAUUAAGUAUAAUUUGAAUAAUUGAAAUGUUUAUAGCAUUUCAACGGCAGUGCAUAAUUCAAAAGAUUUCACAAAAUACCCUACUGGCCUCCCAAGUAGGUUACCUAUAUACUCCAUCAGCGUCCUGAUAGGUCCACUUAAUCCCUAUCGACGUCCCAGAUAGGUACACUUAAUCCUUGCAGGUCCACUUAUACCUUACCAGCGUAUCGGAUGAGUCCACUUAAUCCCUAUCGGCGUACCGGAUCGGUCCACUUAUACCUCACGGACGAACCGGAUGAGUCCACUUGCGUACUUAAAGUAUUUCUAAAUCUCUUUAAACAUUCGAAAGCAUCAAUAUCAUGUACUCAACAUAUCACUGAAAUUAUUAAUAUGAAUUUCACUGAAACCAUUAAUAACAGUCACUUUCAAUAACAUUUAAAAAAUAACCAAUCAAAUAUUUUGGGCUCAGAUUUAGAAAGGUAGCAGUUCGUAAAGACAUUCUAGCAUAAUUGUCAAUCUAAUAUGUAUAGAAAAACUCUUAUAGAAAUUCAAGAAUACAGAAUUAUCACAAUUUAUGGGAUGUCAAUUCGCAAAUAAACAUUUCACAGACAAUGCUACAAUCAAUUGCAAAAAAUAUCAGUUUUCUAAUAAUAAGGCAGCAUUUGCACAUGAAUUUUACAAUAUCUAAAUAUUCAAAAACAAUAGAAAGAAAUCUCACAAUUUUACUAAAAGCAGAAAUAUCAAAUUUAUUUAUAAGAAUUUACAACAUUUAAAAUUUCUAACAUAGAUAAAAUAUCACAAUUUUAUUAAAAUGAUUAUUUUUCAAAAUAAUGAGGUCGCUUGCGCAUAAAAUUUAUCGUGCCUAAAANNNNNNNNNNNNNNNNNNNNCUUCCGAUAAAAAUUCGGCUAAAGAGAGAAAGAGCUCACUGCGUUUCAACUAGAGAGAGAAAGAUCUCAAAAAUUUUCUAGGGUAUCGCCUUUCUUAUUUAAAUUAUUAAGACCCCUUAUUAUUUUAUUUUAUUAAGUUACACCUCAUACAUGAGGUGUAACAAUUAUAUUACACCUGAACGUUUAAAGCUCACGUCCACUAAAAGACGUGGCAAGGCAAAAAAAACUUAAACCAAAAGCUUUUGAAAGUAGUGAUGGUCCCUAAGGACCAUCAUGCUCAUAUGGACCAUCAUGUAUUAAAAGUUUCCUUUUUUUUUUUUUUUUUUUGAAAUUGUAGGAUUAUUACAGUAUCGUUCUUAAUGAGCUUAUUGAAGGGUGCGUACAUGUCUACCAGUUGUGAGGUAAAAUGCCUUAUGGCUUGUAUGCGAUAUUGAAGCCCACAUAUUUCUCUGAUGUUCCGGGGAGGGGGUAUUUCGAUGAUGGCCCGUAUUUUGGAUGGGUCCACUCAAUGCCCCUUUAGCUUACUAUAAAGCCUAAUAAUUUGUCGGAUUCAACUCCAAACGCACAUUUUUGUGGAUUGAGUUUGAGUUGAUAUUCCGGAGUCUUUCAAAAAUGGUUCUCAAGUUAGUGAGGUGAUAGGACCUGACCUUUGAUUUGACGAGGAUGUCGUUAACAUAGUCUUCCAUGAUGGUGUGUAUUAAGUCAUUGAAGAUGUUAGUCAUUACCCGUUGAUAAGUUGCCCCAACAUUUUUUAGGCCAAAGGGCAUGACAUGGUAGCAAUAGGUUCCCCAUUGCGUUAUGAACAAUGUUUUGGUUUGGUCUUCUUCUGCCAUAAGGAUAUGGUUAUAUCCUGAGAAACCGUUCAUGAAUGCCGCAGUGUUGUCAACUAAGGCAUAUAUGUUUGGUAAUGGGAUAUUGUCUUUGGGACAUGCCUUGUUGAGGUCUAUGUAGUUGACGCACACUGAUUCUCCUGUCUUUCUUGGGUACAACCAUUAUAUUGGUCAACCAUUCUGACUAAUCGACAGGGGUAAUAAAUUUUGCCUUGAGCAGUUUAUCAAUUUCUUCUUUGAUUUUGAACUCAUGGUGGGUCUUUUGACGUCGGAGUUUCUGUCUUAUUGACCUUGCCCCUUCGUUGAAUACUAGGUGAUGUUGCACCAAUGUGGGAUCUAACCCUAGUAUAUCAUCGUAUGACCAGGCAAAGACAUCACGAUACUCCUUGAUAAACGAAAUUAUGUUUUUCUAUUUCUCAGGAGAUAGGGAGGCUCCAAUCUCAGUUAACCUUGGAUCCUUCUCGAUUUCUAGGCUGACGUCGAUUGUCUCAUCGAUGAUAGCCGUCGGAUCAUCAUCAAAUCUCUUUUUGAACUGCUCAACAUGGGAAGUUCCUCAGGUUGAGGGAUUUCUUCGGACUCUUGGUUCUCUUGAUCUUCAUUCAGGUUAUCUGAUUCAUCAUCUUGGGUGUUUUGCACCGUUAGUGGGUUAUCCUGAGUGUUUGUUGUUUUUUAUAAUUAUUUUUCUUUAUUAUCAUGUUUCGAAUUUUCAUUGGUUUUUUAAAUAUCAUAAGAGAUAUUCCUUAUGGGACUCGCAAGCGAUACGUUGGGGACCAGACGCGCAUGGUGGUUAGGUUGCCACCGUACGCCUAUCUGUUUUUGGGCACCAGGACUUCAAGGUGCCGCUGGUAGCUUCCAGUGAUUCUUGAGAUAGAGUAGUGAUUGACCAAUUCCGUCCCUGGGUUCGAAUAGACGAAUGAACACGAUUAGCUAUGUCAGAGCCAACUGUGUAUACUUUCAAGUCCAGGUCAGAAAAAAGGUCUUCAAUUCCCAAUUCUUGUGUGUGCUGAAAUGUAGAAGGAGAAUCCUCCACCGUUGGGGAAUUAAGGAUCACCUUUGGGCGUUUCGAAUGACAGGCGUCAAGAGGAUCGAGGCUUUGAAUGCCUCCAGAUACAAAGCCCGGAUGGUAUGAAGGCUUCAUUCGGCUUCGAAAUAAGGUGAGAGAACACCCGAGUUUGCUUGAAUCCCCGUUUUUUAUUUUGGCUUGGGGUGAUUUAGAGAUUGCCUCUGUUAUGCCUUGCCUCUGACUUCUCAAGCCUUGCCUUUGACUUCCCAAGCCUUGGCCUAGUUGGACGCCUUGGGAGAAGCGCAUGUGCCAAGCCUCGAGCGACCCGAAACCAAAUCAAUGUUGACAUUGGAUGAUGCCUUCCAUCAAUGCAGAAGUAUGCAGAAUUUUAGGAACAUGGUCGCUGACCUUUAGGCGUAAGGUGGCGUAAUUAGCUUGCUCGAAUGAAACAAGCGGGAUUUCUUCGAGCUCGACUCCCACGACUAGCUUUCCGUUAUUUAUACUAGUGCUUAGAAGAGAAAAAAGUUCAGCACAUAGAUUGGCGACGCCGUUCUUGGUUGGGAAUUUGAGGCACUAAUGGAGUGUAGAGGUCGCCACAAGAUUUUCAUGCAACCACGACCUUCCUAAAAACAUGUUAAAUGAGGGUUUUAUAUUCAAGACAUAAUACUUAAUCACUUGGAUGACAGGCCCAAUCUUGAGAGUGAGAGGACAUAUGCCUUCAAUUUCUUUUGGUCUCAUCAUAUACAGCGAUAUUGAGCUGACACUGCUCGAAGUCAUUCGAGAUCUUGCCUAUCUGCUUCACUGUUUUCAAAUGGUAUAUGUUUAAAGAGUACCCUCUGUAUCUCAUAUCCUUGCAUGAAAACAGUGAUGUGCAAUGGUUGAACGUAAAAGCAGUUGAAGCUGGUAGGGAUGUUGUCGUCCGUUAAGUCUUUAAAUUUUGUGACACUACCAGGUUUGAGGAGUAUUCUCAUUAUCCUUAAUCAAUUGGAGGGGUAAUAUUGACCAACAAAACAUAAGAUGGCACGACUCUUGCCUUCUUGAUUAUACGGAGCUUUGCCAAUAUUAGAAACUGACGAAAAUGUCCUUCUUUGCACCUUUAUAUGACGUAAAUAGCCCCAUUGUUCUCUAAAUAGGCAACGAUGUUUUAAUUUCUUAAAAGGACCAUCAUACCUUUUUGGAGACCAUGUGAUUGUGCUGGCAAUCGUGUUUAUAAGGUCUCGACCUUAUAAGCCCCGGGAAAAGUUUAUAUAAGGUGUCAACUUUAUAUAUAAAAGUGCAUUUUAAAAAUAUAUGGGAAAUAAUUGUUUCGAUACUAGAAAACUCUUAUAGUUAAUCAUAUAGACCUCGCGAUGUAUGGAUAUAUAAAAAAGAAAGGGAUUUCACGUUUUAAGAAUAAUUUAUAUCCUAACACGUGAUUUAGACCAUCUAUUUUCACGAUUUUCAAGUCUUUUAUAGAUAUGCUAGAUCGACAUCAUUUUUAAACCCUUGAAUUUUUACAAUUAGUAUAGAAAAAUAUUUUCAAAACAUCGUAAAGAUAUUUGCAACGAAAUUGUAUCAUCAUCAUCAUCGAAGCUUUUCCCAACAAUUUGGGGUUGCAUCGAAACAACAUCUUCCUAUGAAAUUUGAUUGUUUAAGUUGCACACUUUAUAUAAACGUCAUCCUAAAAUUUGAGGGUGAAGUUUACGUUUACACGAGCCGGUAGCCUCGAGACAUAAAGUAGGGAUGCACCUCCAAACAUCGCCAUAAGUUGUUCUUUUGGCCUUGGAAUUCCCUAUAGUAGCUUGAAAAUUUAUUAUUGCUUCUAAUUAUGAAAAUUUAGCCUAACGUUGUAGAUUUGGGGGAUCUAUGAAGACUUAAAAACAGACAAUCCAAACAAGUUGUUACAAUAUGCAACGUAAUUAGGGCUUGACGUAUUCUUUUUAUGGUUUAUAAUUUUUCUGAUUAUACUGAAAAUUGGAUGAUUUUAAUAAUUUUGUAAGAUGAUUUUAUUGUUUAAGCAAUGUUUUUUCAAGUGAUCGUCCAAGAAUUAAAUGGUAUCGUUCAUUGCCAAUUUAUUGUUUUUUUUAGACAUGCACAUAGGUUGGUGGCAAGGUUUUCGAGUUUACAUCCCAAAAAUCGAGGCGCUAAAUAUUCUCAUUGAGAGGCCUGACCCAAAGGAUCAAAUCUACAAUAUGUUUUAACAACAUUUACCUAUGAAUAGGUUUGGCAAUGGACCCGGACCGACCCGGGACUUGAGGGGUAGACCCUAUUCUGGUUUAGGUAUGGGUCCAAAACUUGGACCCGGCAGGUCGGGUUCAAAAACACUAUUCGGGUAUGGGUCCGGUUCUAAUAAUAUUUUAUUGGUCUCAAUAUAUGAAAUAUAUUUAAAUAUAGUUAAAUAUAUAGAUAUUUUAAUUUUUGGGUCGGUUCAGGUAAAUUUGGGUUCUAUCGGGUUCGGGUCCUAUAGCAUGUUUCCGGGUUCGGGUCUUGGACGAAAAAUACUCCUAGUUAGGACUUUUAGCAAGGGAGUAAGUGUACAGUAUGCUCUCACGAGAGCACGUAAUCUUUUGGCACCUUUAUCUAUAGUUCCACAGCUUGUGUGGAGCAAUAUUUAUGGUGGUAACCAAUGGAUUUAAGGACAGCACUGUUCAUUUGAAAAAAAAUUGAGGUGAAACCUAUUUUGAAUAUUUGUCACCAAAAAAAAGGAAAAAGUAGGUGUAAAUUUCGACCAUUUUAAGAGGAAAAAGUAAAAGAAUGUUACCACAUUGAGCUACACACAAAUCUCUUUAAAGAGAUUGUUUCCAUUUUGAAAACACUCCAAACCUACAUCUGAAAUUUUUUGAAAACUUGAUUUGAAACCGCAUUUUCCGCACUAAAGCAACUCCUUGGUAAAUCUCUCUCUCUCUCUCUCUAACUCUCAGUCUCUCUCUCUCCUCGGUGAAAUGGCCAAGUGCUUUUUACCUUGUUGUUAAAAAAUAUUAUUGUAUGUGCAAUUCCAAUUUUAUAAUUUUAUGGGAUGUCUUUGUAUAUUCCCUCGGGUGAAACUUUGUUUUCGAGUACUGGUAAGAAAUCAAAUUUUAACAGGAUAGCUUCCUCAUAGACUUACUUAAAAAAAUAAUGUGCACGUAUGCCGUUGAAAAAAUUCCUAAUAUAGAAUAUACAUUAAAGACGUGGUUUCUAUGCAGUCAAGCGCAAUGUGGGCCUCUUGAUAAAUCUAUUUUUGAGAUGGAUUUUUAAACUUAAUUUUUAAGAACAUGUAAUCCCUAAUAUGGAGAUCAAGAAUAUGAAAAAAUAAAUAAAUUUUAAAAACUAGAUAUAAUAAUUUUAGUAAUAAAACAUUUGGACUGUUAGUUUCUAUUGCUUUUAGAUGGAACACCUACUUGUAUCCAUCUUUAAGAUGCAUGCAUUAGACUUUCUGGAUCGCAUAUGUAAAAAUGUUGUCUAGCCCGCAUAAAACAAUUUUUCAUACAUAAAAAGUGUGCAAUGAGACAAUUUAUCUUUAAUACAAAGUGGUCACAAUUAAUCUUGACCAUUUAAAUUUGAUGGCUACAUUUAUUAUAUUGACCAAACUCAAACUUCAAAAUAAAUUUUUUCGCACUUUGUGACCCAAACAAGCUAUCAGAUUUUACAUAUGAUAGUUGUAAUAAUUGUGACCUCCAUGUAUCAAUGGCAAAUAGUUAUACAAUCUCGAAUAUAAAUUAUGUAAAUUUUGGAUAGUUAGUUCUAAAUGUUUAGAACUCAAAAUAUGAUGUAUACUCAUUAAAUAUACUAAGCUGAUGUUCCUAAAGUGAUUCCCAAAAGUUUAGAUCAAUAAAAUAAUUUGAGUAUCCGUUUUAUCAAAGAGAAUAAGUGCACAAUGUGAUCCCACGAAGGGGCACGCUACAUGCCCUUCAUGCUCUAUUCUCUUUGUUCGUAUAACCAUUUCUCAAAGGCAAUAUGAUGGCUAGGUUUGAAGGGGCCUCUAAUAAAUUAUCCUAGAGAAACUAAAAGCCAAUGAUUAUGACUAAUAAAUUAUAAUUGAAAACCCUAAAAGCCAAUGAUUAUUAUUGAAAAAAUCUUGAACUCUAUUUGAAAACUCUAAAAACCAUUAAUUAUUAUUGAAAAAUCUCAUAUUAUCUUUGAAAACUCUACACACCACUAAUCUCUAUUGGAAAUUAUUGAACAUGUUUCCUUUCAUCCAAAAUUUUGUAAAAUAUUGACUGAUACGUAUUGUUUUCUUUUUAAAUAUUUAUUUCUUCUUUCUUGCUAAGAAUGAUUUAUGAGCUGGCAUGCCAUCUGUUGUAUUAAUGUGUGAAAUAUGUACAAAAUAAAUAUAUAAGGGGAGAAAUGUUAAUAGUUAUCUCGAACUAUAAAGAGACCAUUUAUUUUUGAUACAAGAAGGUCACAAACAUUCUUGUAUGUCAGAUUCCAAAUCAGGGUGGUUGUAAAAGUGUUAUUGAUUAGACUCAAAGUUCAAAAUUUAUUUUUUUUGAACUUCUUUACACACCACAAACCAUCUAAUUUGACAUCUAAUAACUAUAACCUCUUGUAAUAAAAAUAAAUAGUCCCGUAGCAUACCAUCCCAAAACUGCUUCAUAUUUCUUUAUGCAAGGUAUACAAAAUGAAACAUACAUUCCCCUUCUCCAUAUGUAAAAGCCAUUGUUUUAAAACCCUAAAAUUUUCUAGGAUCGAUCCUCUAGUGAGCCGAUCAAAAUCAUCCAUUUUAAUUCAAAUCCGCCAAUUUUCUCAGUCCAAGAUGUUAAAUAUAAAAAUAUAAAGAAAAAUUAAAAGAAAUUAAAUUAUGUGAGAAUGGCCAAUUCUAUGGACAGGAUCAAUAAUUAUUCUGGCCAAAUCAUCUUGAUCCAGUUCUCUAGCAAACCAAGCAAAGCCCACUAAAGGCGAACCAUCCACAACUAUGAAAGGAUGCACUUUGCUGAUCUUCUUUUUCAAUUCGAAUCGGCCUAUUCAUAUAGUAAUUCCCAAUCCUGAUCAACAUUUCCUAAAUCACUCGUGGAAACAAUGAAAACAUAAAAGAGUAGUAUCUCUCUUGCGUCCAAAAUCCGGAUCAAACUCUCUCUCUUCGUUAAAUCAUACAAGCACAUGCAAACCACUCUAAUAUUUCCUUUUCAAAAGGAAAGUAUAUUUAUGCCAUUAUAUAAAAUGUAAAGGGUAGAACCAGAACGACUAUAUAUAUAUGUACACGGUAAUAGAACUGUGCCCAAAUGCAUUCACACAAUACACAGCCCGUAAAUGCUCUCUCUACCGCUCCUCUGAAAUCGAGUCUCUUUCUCUCUCCUCAAUUUUCUCAAGCUCUCGCCUUUUUCGCUGAAUUAGGGUUUCCAUUUCCCCUGCAACACUGUUUCCGUCACUCCAAACCUGCUAUCUUGGGUUUUUUCGGAGUUAUUGGCGAAUUAUGAAGGAAUUUUUUAGGGUUUGUGAUCCAGGGUUUUAUGGUAGUUUGGGACGUGUGCAUCAAGGGAAGGAAUUGUAGGGUUUGUAUAAUUAGGGCAUUUUGUCCGUCGGGAAGUGUGUCAACCCAGGAAACCCGUGGCUAGGGUUUGUGAUUUUGCGCUUGGUGGGGUGCUGUAAAAGUUGUUCGAGGACGAAAUCUGAGGUUUUUGGGGUUUAUGUUUUCUAUACAGAAUCUAAAAAGAAGAGAUUGUGUCGUGCUAUAGAUCAAUGAUCGGAGAAGAGGACCCAUGGCUGAUGGUUCUGGUUCAGGGUUCUAUGGUUGUAUGUAACAGCAAAUAAAGUGGGAGGCUCCAUCGUUGUGGCUUCUAAUUCAGGUUGAAGCUUUGGCGUUGGUAUAGUAUCAUAAUAUCUAGGGUUUGUAUUUUCUGGACUUUUUGUUUUUAAAGGUUUUCCAAUCUUGUAAGAAAAUGAGUGACGACAGAGAAGAAAGGGGGGGUGAGGGACUUGUUUCAGUGGGAAUCAACAAUAAAGGCUUUCGAUCACCAUUGAUUGAUGGUGGCAGAGGAAAUGCAGUUACCAGAGGUGGGAUAAGACCUGGUUUCUCUAUGCAAAGGUGUGGAAGAUUGAAUGAUCUGUUAUAUGUUAGGCCUGAUUCAGAUGAAUCAGGAGAAGUUAGGACAAGUAUAGGGCAAGCAAGCUCUGAUCAUGGCGUUAAUUUUAAUGGAGCGGGGCCAUCGAGAUCUGGUGAAAGUCCUUGGGUAUACCGGAUGAAAUCUCAGGACGAUUUUGUGGAAGUUCCCAAUGAUUUUUUUGCCACUGUUAGUGAUUCUUUUGUGGGGGAUGAACUGUUGUUGGAGGCAGGUAGAGGGAGCUCUGAGGAUGUAUGGAAUCAUAAACGGGCAAGAGUUUUAAGUUGUACGCAGUGAGUAUACACUCUCUUCUUGCUGUUUUUAUGUUUAUCUCUUAUUCUUUAUUUUUGUUUGGGGAGUUAGGUACAUGCUAUUUUUGUUUUAUGAACCUGGUGAAGAGAAGGAGGGUUUCUUGCACAUUGUUCUUAAUUGAUGAAGUAUACAUAUUGUCAUAAAUGCUGUAAUGUACCAGUUGGUUUAUUCAAUUUAAUUGUUGUCUUUUAGUUGCUAAUAUAAUGUACACUGCCUUGCUUGCUUAUUCGACCUUAAUAUGGUGCAUUUCAUUUCAAUCUGUGUGAAAUUUGAUAUUCUUCAACUAAAUUUAUUGGGAAAUGGCAUAUUUCAUUUCAAUCCAUUAUAGUGCAUUUUGUUGUUUCAUUUGUUUAACCCGGGGUAUGAAUUAUUUUGUCAUGUUUCAUUUAUUUAAGUUCUACUGCAGUAGGUAAUCAGGAUUUCUCAUUUGCUAUAUUCGGGCACAUAUUGCAAGACUUGAACAUACGAACUACAAUUAAUCACAAUAAUCACCAUAUACAGUACACCAGUGGUCAUUGGGAAGGGUAGAAUUUUAAAGGGCUAUAUCCUUUAUUGAUAAUCAUCCAGUAUUUAGCCGAUAAAUUGUUGAAAUAUGAAUAAUUUAUUUUAUUUUAUUUUUUAUUCAUAAUUUGUUAAACAAUGUUCUCAUUAAUUUUGUUGAAAUUUAAAUGCACAGCAGACCAAAAAUGAGGUGAUAGAAUGUGUGACUCAUGCUUAGAAUGUCACAAAUUCAAAUAUUAAUGAGGGCAUUUUGAUGGUAAAGUGGCGGGGUACUUUGUAUUCUGCAUGUGAUUUUUAUAAUAAUUCCAGAGAUGUCCUAACAUUGCCUUUACAUGUCUAACCUGUGUUUGGGUGUGUCUAGUGAUAUCGCCAUGUCGACAUGUCUUGUAUCAGCGUUUAAAAACACAGAACUGGAUUUUUUUUUUUUGGGGUGGGGGUGGGGGUGGGGGGGGCAGUGUCCCAAGUUUGCUUGGUGAGACUCGAGUCUAAUCGUUCAUGACUUAUUCAUGAACUCAUGACUUAGACCAGAAUCACUAUUUUUUGAAAGAUCUAGACAUACUCAGUCUGACACGUGUCCAUGCUUGGGUUAGGUGGGGUCCAUCCUAGUCGUGCUUGUUGAGUUUUUAAACACUGGACAUGCGAACAAGGGCCCCAUUGGUGUGUUUGGUAACAUCCUCAUCAUCAUAACAUUUUACGAUACUAACCAUAGUGAGGUGCGUCUUGAUAUGCCUAACAGAUUAAUGAGUUAGUAACCACAUGAGAUACACUUUAAAAAAAAAAUGAAAAACCUUCCACAUGAGAUUCUAAGAAAAUUGGUUUUAGGAUACCUUGUUCUGGCCAAGAGAUCCUUUUCUCCCACCACUAUGAAGACACAUAUGUCAAAGGAAGCCCAUGGAAUUUACAAAGAUGCAACUGGGGCCCAUGGAAACCACAAAGAUUCAACUAUCUUCAUCCUAGAUCAAUGACUCUUGCCUUUAUCUGUCGUCUGAAAAUUGGAUUCCAUUAUCCUCGUCGACGUGGAAUUUUAUGCGGCUUUCUUUGAUGUCUCAUAUGGAAAUGCUAUGUAGAGGCUGUUGGCUUUGCUAGCAAUGUUCAAGAAGGCGGAGGUGGCCAGGGGCGUAGACCGCCUAGAUACCUGGGGCAGCCUUGGUUUGAGAAACAGUAAAUAAAAAAAAAAUUGAGGAGGUGGCCCCAAGUGGGCGCCCAGACUUAAACAAGUCCGCUUGGACCCCCACGCCUUGGUUUGAGAAACAGGCCACCUAGGCAGUCUGGCAGCCGAAUUUUUGUACAUCGCUGGCAAAUCUAAUCCUCAAACUCAAUGCUUUGAAAUUCUCUUCUGAGUGGUCAUGAGAUGAUAUGAUUUUAUUGAUUCCCUUGAAUAUCUGAUUGUGUCACUCUCUUGGUCUCGCCAAUUCCCCAAGAGUAUAUGUAGAUCGAAAGGCCUUGAUUCCUAAGAGAUGCACAAUCUUUGGGACAAUUAAAUCCUAUGAGUUUGAACCAAGAUAUGAAUUUUGAUUAUGAGUUCUAAAGAUAUCUAGAUGGAAGGACCUUUAUUCCCAUGGAUUUCUAGGUUUUUCAUCUCAUCCUCACGUUACAUUUUGACACAUUCUUGUGUGUUUGGAAUUAUAGGCUUGGACACCGUACUGCAAGUUUCCAUAUUAGUAAGCGCAUAGCCCUCUAGAGACUUGAGAUGAGCUAUUAUUCGUGCCAUUAUGGUCAUAGACUUAUUGGUGCAUGACUCUUUCGUCAAGUGAGUUACUCAAAAAGCAUGAAACAUAUUGUGGUUAAAAUCAUUGUAGGAAACAUUGGGCGUUCUAAUCGGGUGCUGCCCGGUUAGAUCGGAACAUGCCAUUGACCGGUUCUUGUUUCCGCUGGUUUUGGUGAUCGGUCGAGUAUUUUAAACUUUCUUUUUAAAAAAUUAUAUAAAACCCCAAAAAAUAAGGGAUUUUGUUUGUAAUGCAUUUUUUAAUGUUUUCAUCAUUAUGGCAAAGAUUGGAAAUUGUUUUGGCCAUUAAUACUUAUUUUUACAUUUUCCCAUCUUUUUUGGAAAAAUUCAAAAAUACCCUUGGGCACAAAUUGAUUUUUUCCCUUAAUUUUCAACUUCAUUUGGAUGUGCUUUGUUUAAUCAUUCUUUAAAUACAUUUUUUCUAUUUUAUUAGAUUUUUUUUGUUUUUGUUUUUGUUUUUUUGUUUUUUUUUUAAACUAACACUUUUUUGAUUGCCCGGUUAGAAUAGUUGAACUGGCUAGUUUACCGCUUAGGCCUGUUGAACUGCUUCCGGGCCCAUGUUCGGUUAACAGUUUUGUUCGAUUUUUCCUACACUGGUUAAAAUGAUGGCAUCGACUAAUAUCUAAUGCCUUGUUAUAAGAGAGAAACUUAGAAUUCCUCAAACAUUUGAUAUUUUUUAGAUCUAUCAGGCCUUUGGCAACAACAUUCAUAAGCAAAAGAAUGCUCUCCGAUGAAUGGGAGAUGCCCCAACUUAAACUAUGACUUGUAGGCAACUUUAUUGACCACCUUCCAACAUUAAAAGGUGGGUGAUAAAGCACCAUUGUUGUGUUCAUUGUUUUAUGGAAAACUGGAACUGGAUGCCUCAAUGUAUGGUAUAUAUCCUGGUGUGUUCUUUGCGGUGUUAAAAAAUGCGGGUUCGGCUACCUAGUCGUUUUGGGUACCUGGCCGCUUAGGCGCAUGCCCAAAGACAAGGUGCCCUCACCAAAAUUGGAACCCCCCCCCGUUGCCCUCAAAAAACAAAACAGGGGAAUUCUUAGGGCAUGGUUUCAGGCCUUAGGGGGUUCUUAGGGCAAUUUUAGAGCCCCAAACUCUUCGUGAAAUAGAUGAAAACGUAAUAGUACAAUCACAUAACAGAUUUACGAAUACAAGUCUUGAAGAGAUUAUGAGAUUGUAACUUGUAAGACAUUAAAAUGCUUGAAAUCCCAAAUGUCAAUGAAUAAUAAUUGAUCGAGUAUCAAUCAAGAGAUUAUGAGAUUGUAACUUGUAAGACAUUAAAAUGCUUGAAAUCCCAAAUGUCAAUGAAUAAUAAUUGAUCAAGUAUCAAUCAAUGUGAAUAAAAAAUCAAUCAUCUAAUCAACAAACCUGUAAAAUACAUAAGAUUAAAGAAUUAAGUCAUUUAUUAUUACUUUGCAAAUUACAAUAAGACUUAAAUGAGUAUAUAAGAUCUUGGUUUCACUUUCACAUAAGACUUAACUCAUUAAGAUAUCACAUAGUCAAUUAUUUAUCAAAUAAAGCAAAACAAAAAUAAUAGAAUAUCAAAACAUGACACAUUGUACAAAAAAGAAUAAACUAUUCAUAAAAGAAUACGAUAUAUGCUCAAUUUCAUCGUCCAAGUGAGGAAAAAUUCAAUUAAUCGCAAAAAAAUCAAUCUUUGAACUAUAAUUAUGUAAAUAUAUUGUAAAAGAAAAAUAUUAAAGAAAAAACAUGUGAUUCGCAACAUACUACUCUUUCAAAUUUGAUAGUGCUUUAAAAAUAGCAAAUUCAAAUCGAUGUCGGUGCAAACCGUGUCUAUUGGGUCGCCAAAAGUCUUCAAAAUCAACUACUAGAAGCUCCAAAUCUACCCACAAACUAUUGCCUAUGUUAUGGGAAGAAAUAAAAAAAUUCAGAAAGUUAUCAAUCUUUCGAUAAAUCUCAAAAGAGUGGUUUUUGAGGAGUUUUUCUCACCCUAAAAGCUACGGUUUUGGUUUUGGUUUUGGGGGUUUAGUAAUCCCCCGAAAACCUUUUUUUCCCCCUUAUUAGGGGGGGGAAAUGACUUUUCUUUAACCCUCAACAAGACCCAUUUUCCACGUUUUCUCAACUUGUGUGCCUAGGUGGGUAUCUUGCCUGUCUAGGCGGGCCCAGACGCAAGACGCAUAAUGACCCCGCCUAGCAAGCGCUAGUCAUUGUUUAUAAAAUUUCUGCUUAGGCGGUCGGGAGGGCGAAUUUUUUAGCACUGGACUUCUUUGAAACACUAUAGAUGCCUUCUCAAAAAGGCUAGUGUUCAAAAUCUUACACAACACUUGAAUUGUUUUUGUGUGGUUAUAGUCCCUUUAUCUACCAUAUUCGUUAGCAAGUCAAUGGACCUUCUCCAUCUUUUCUUGUUCUUUUUUUUUUUGUACCCCUUGUAUCUAACCUUCCUUAUUUCAUUUUGAAAGACUUUGGAGGGAAAGCAGGUUUGUUUUACAAUAUUGGGUGAUUGUGUGAGCUUAGAACACUUCGAUUAGUCGGCUUUGGAAGCUUACAAAUCUAAUGUAGUCAUUCAUUGAAAGUCUUAAAAGAUGAAAUUAAGCCUUUGCUCAAGAUUAGGUGGUUGUGCAAUAUUAGAGCACUUCACUUGGUUGAUUUCGAAGGCUUUCCUUUUAAGCAAUUUGUAGAGUUUCCAAGUAGAUGCAAGUAAAUGGAUUAUGUAUUAAUGUAACAAGAUUAUUGCAAGACAAUUGACAUGACAUAAUGGUGCUAUGAUCACUCACCAUUCAUUAUUGAAAGGUUGGUAAUUCAAGUUAUUUGGCAGCUACUGUUUAAUUUGAAAUCUCACCCCAUCACCCAAAUGCAUUUACUCACCCACCCUUGUGUUACUAUAAGAGACAUACAAAUCUGAAUCACUUGGGACAAAUCAAGUAAUCUCAUUGUUUGAUGACUCUGGCUUAGUUCUGGAACUGGGCAGGGCCUGGCUCCUAGUCAGGUUCAUUGAAGUCUUCAAACUUUUUUUUUGGGGAAGCAAUGAGACUCAGGUGAUUCCUAAGGUUUGAAAUUCGGACAUGAUAGAGUAACUUGCUAGACCUCGAGUCAGACUUGGUGAUUGUAAAACACUUAGUAAUCUUCAUGGCAUGCUUGCGAAAUUGUACAUUCCUCAUGUGCACCAUCGCUUAAAGAUUUUAGAUGUUAGUGACAGUGAUUUAAAAAGCAGAUCGCCUAGCACUUGGGCGGUCGUUGAGGCGGUCCAGAAGGCUUGGGUGCAUUGCUCAGGCCUAGGCGGCCAAAUUAGGCGGGAUAUCUCUGGGCGCCCGCCUAGACAGGCUCCUGGGAACCAGCCUAGGCAGGCGCCCAGUGCCUGGGGUGGCUGCUCGGGCCUGCGCCCUGCCCAGGGGCGGAAAUGUCCCUCGUUGAGUGAUUUUUUUGUCUUUUUUUUACUUCUAAAGGGGCAAAAUUGUGGGUUUUAUGUUCAUUUGAAACCUAAAACCCAUUAGAGCCCUAUUUUAGAGGGAGAGAAACCACAAAAAACUACUUUUUGGUGAUUUCCAUGGGAUUCGAAUGGGUUUCUCAAAGUUACGAGAAAUUGAUCUAAGCAUCACUCAUUGAUAUUAGAUUCAGUUUUGGAUGUUUUAUAAAGGUUUUUUUUAGAAGAUUUUGAGCCAAAUAUCUUAAAGGUGGAAGUUUGGAGAUCGAACAAUCAAAGUUAUUGUUUUUUUUUAUAGUUUGUAUUAUUUUGAUAUGUCUUCUUCGGGAUCUAAUCGAAGUGGUGAUCCAGGUUGGAAAUAUGGCUACAACUUGAAUCCUUUCGAUAAAAAUUGCAUAAGAUGCAAGUUUUGUGAAAAGGAUACAAAAGGGGGCAUAAACUGGUUCAAGAAGUAUCUUGUCGGGGAUGUUGCUCUAUGUAAAAAAACUCUUGAUGCUGCUAAAGAGGAGAUAAAAAAUCUGAUGUACCCUAAAUCCCUAAUUCUUAUGUGUUAUAUAGUUAUACUUAACCGUUAGACUAUAGAGACAUUUUUCUUUCCAUUGGGCCGCCUAGGUUUUGGGCAUCCGCUUAGGCACUGAUCGGCCUGGACCCCCUCGAGCCAAGGUGUCACCUAGCGCUUUUUGAAACAUUGGUUAGUGAUGCUACAAUUUGGCCCAUACUGUGAUUUAUACUAUAGGGGUAGUCUGCUCAAAGCUUGAGUCCUCCACCUACAUCUGUAAAGGCGGGAAUGACAAUGUGUCCAAGGCUAUCGAAAGGACAAUGCGUUUGGUAUCCAAUUUGAGAAUUCGUAACUGCGAUAUCCUAGCUUACAAUGCCAGAGAUUUCAGAGGAAAUCAGGGUGACUUGUGUCAUUGGAAGAAGGGUAAAUAAGACAAAUGGGUAGGGCAUGGAAGAGGGUUGAAGGAUCCUCACUGAAACUGAUUGUAAAGAGCCAACCAAGAAGAAUAUUGAGAGUGGGUAUUUCAAUUGCAUGGUGCCUCCAAGGAGGUUUUGGAUUAAAUUGAAAUAUUUCAAUUUGAAUUUAUCAAUGUGAAUUUAUCGAUUUGUUUUUUGUAUAUCUUUUAUCCAUACAUAGAAGAUAUGAUCCAUUAUACCCAAUUGUGAAGUAAAGAAGAAUUUCCCCUUGGUUUGAUGUUGGUUUAAGGUAGUACUGAGUCCUAAAAGAUCAAUAGGAUUUAUGGUCAAUUCACCUCAUGAACCAUUUUAUUACAAUUUUGAUAUAUGGGGAUCUAAUUGUAUAGUUCAUUUAUUGGUAGUGUGGAUGAUUACAAUCAAUGUUCAGAAACAGUUGGAGGCUGGCGCCCUGGAACCUUGACGGCCCUUGUCUGAGUUAAGGGGUUUAGGUCCUCUAGGGAGCUUAUAUGGGCAUCCCGAAACUCCUGAAAUGACCUCAAAACCUUUUUGAACAUCAUAUUUUUGAGUUUUUGUACGUUAUUGUGUUGUGCAAUAAUGAAAUUUGAAAUUUAUGCGUGAAUUCGAUUGAACUUGCAUUUGAAAUGGCAAAACUUUAUAGGUUUACUCGCUCCAUAUCCAUACAAAGUUGCAUCUCAUUUCAUCGCUCAUCAUCAACAUUAGACACUAGCAAGUAGCAAUUCUAACACAAAGUAAACACGUUAAUAUAUAUAAAAAUUGGCAACAAAGAUCAAAAGUCAAAAUGCAUAAACUGAUAAACCAUCAAAACUCGACGCAUGAUGUCCACAUGUGAUAAACUCAAAAUGAAAUUUGAGUUUCAUUAUCACCCUGAAUAGAAUCUGAUGAUGAUGCCAUGCCAUCGUCAUUAGAGUCAUUCCCCUUCUCAACAUAUUUUGCUUCAUCCUUUCCUUCAAGUCGUCUUCUUCCUCUUCAUCCUCCUCUCUCUCUUAUCAACCUUUUCCUCUUCCUUUGAGGGUUAGAUUGAGUGGCCUGCACAAGGCUUAGAUGCUUGAUGAGCUUGGCCCCAGGUCUAGCGCUCUCCACGGAAUACCUCAUGAUCACAAGCAUCAACCAGCCACUCUCUACGACCAUCUACAUUAUCAACAAUAAGAGCCUCCCUAUCAUUGCAAUCAUGAUAGCGCUCCUUAAGCUUUUGAUUAUAUUGAAUUAAGACAAGGUUGUUUAGUCUCUUCUUGUCAAGUCUAUUCCUCUUCUUUGUAUGGACCUAUUAGGUAAAUGUUGAAUGAACAAAUGAAAAUUUAAAAAACAUAAUAUAGGUUAGGGGUUGGCCAAUAAGCUGUGUAACUAUGUUGGUUAAUUGGGCCAUGGUAUAAGGCCCCAGUUGCUUCUAAGCUUAAGGAACCAUUGCUUAGAAAGGAGGUGGAACAUGCAAAUUUUUUUUUGAAGACUCAUAAGGAUGCAUGGGUGAUAUAUGGUUGCUCUAUUAUGACUGAUGGAUGGACUUGAGAAUGGCCUGGGCCUUGGCGGUACUAUUGUUGAGCCCCAUGGUGAGGUCUCUGACUCCAUCAUCGGCAAAGGGUAGGCGCCCAAAAUCCUCACUGACAUACCACUUUUAUGUACCCAAAAAAAAAGACUGAUGGAUGGACUUAUAAGAGAAAUAGAAGUAUCAUGAACUUGAUGGUGAAUUGUCCAAUAGGGAAAACAUUCUUGAGGUGCAUUGAUGCUUAAGACAAGACCAAUGAUGUGAGAUUCAUUUGUACUUUGGUGGACUAGUGUUAUAAAAGAGGUGGGGGAGGAUUACGUGGUCCAAGUCAUGACUAGUAUGGUCACAGCCAAUAUGGCGGCUACUAACUUAUUGAAGAAAAAGAGGAUUUGUGUUUUUUUUGUUGCCUUGUAAUGACAUGAUGUGAUUGUAACUUUAAGUUUGUAACUUAGCUUAAGUAAUGUUGGCCAAGUCUGAGCCUUGAUGAGGAAGUUGAUAGAGGAUAGAGACAUGGUGAGACCUGGGGUGACUAGAUCUGCCACCUCCUUCUAGUCUAUACUUUCGUUAUGAUCACAAAGAAAAGCUUAGAAAAAUGGUUGUCUCUAAAGAUUGGACCAAAAGAAAGUGGGUCGAGAGGGCAAAUAGGAAAGUAGUGGUUAGCAUUAUUUUGGACUCACGAUUUUGGAGUGGGGUUCAGCAUGCCCUAGGUAUUUCUCACCCAAGGUACUAGUGCAGUUGGUUGAUAGUGAGAAGAAACCGGCAAUGGGUCAUAGUUAUAAUGCAAUGGAGAUUGCCAAGAUUGAGAUAAAAAAAUAUUAGGUGAUGAUGAAGCUAUUGCAUGGCCCUUUUUUGAAAAUUAUAGAAGAGAUAUGAAACUCAUAGCUUGAGCUUAGCAAGGUACUACCUUAACCGUGCUUAUUUCAACACUGAUCAUGAGAUAGAUAACAAGAGCGACUUCAUGGAUGCAAUCAACCAAUGGAACAUCAAACUCAACCCUGAUCCUAAUGUCCAUGACAAGGUCUCAAUGGAUUUAGAAAAGUAUAGGUUCUCAAUGGGGUCUCUUGGAAAGGAGUUGGCAAUAAGGCGAAGGACCAAGAUCUCUCUUGGUAAGUCUAGAACUUAUUCAUAUUGAUUUUGUGAUUUGAUUAUUAAAAUCUAAUUGUACAGUUACUUUAUGUACUAUCUUUGCAUUUAUGUAAAAUAGCUGCAUGGUGGACAAACCAUGAAGAAAGCACUCCACAUUUGCAGCAGAUGGUCUAGAAGCUCUUCAAGUUAGCAGCAUUAAAUGAAAAGCGUGCUUGAUUGUGAUACCUUAUCCCUAUCCUCUUUCUUAAAAUGGCUCUCUAAAGUUGGCUGCCCCUUUUGCACACUAUAAUCUCAUCAGGAAAAGGGCGGGGUGAGGGGUGGAGUAAGAAUCCAUAGGCCCUCUUGUUUGAGGCCUUUUUGAUUGGGCCCCAUCAGCCUAUUAGAAGAACCAACCUCGGUAUAUAUAUCCUCUUCUUUCUGAACUCCAAAUGUAUCCACCUGUAGCAAUUUCUCCAUAUCUUUUCUUCGCUGCCUCUUUUUUGUUUUUGACCCCUUGCAAGGGCUCUAACAUGUCCCACCUAACUUCAUGUUGCACUUAAAUACAUGGGGUCACAUCCCCUCUAUGCCGGUCAAAUGUUUCUUUAGUCUAUUAAUACCAGCAUUAUAAUAUUUUUUUUUGCAAAAUUUUCACUCCACCCUAUUCUUGUCAUCCGGAUCAGAUUGCUUACUUGAACCAGUUGAAGAUAUUCUUAGAUAUGUCUUGAAUUACAACCCACUGAUCACAAUAUCACCCAAUGAAUAAACCUGAAAAAUGCUCAAGAUCAAGUAUUAUAUGAAGCAAGCCGACCUAUGUCCAUGCCUAUAAAAUACAAGAAAUAAAUUUCAAGUAUUAAAUGAAGUAAAGAAACUAGGAAAGACCACUAAAUAAAUAUGGAACCAAUUGUAAAUGAAGAAAUAUAAAAAUAUGCAAAGUCAAAGUAGUAAAUAAAGCAACCUACUUAUUUCUAGGUCUGUACUAUACAAGAAAUAGAUUUAAAGUAUUAAAUGAAGUGAAGAAACUAGAAAAGACCACUUAAGAAAUAUGGAAAGCAAUCACAUGAAGAAAUAUAAAUACACAAUCCGAAAAAUGCAAAUAAUACCAAAGCGUUUUGAGAUUAGUGUCUUUUUCUUAUGAUUGGAUUUCCCAAUCAACAGUUUUAACCUAAGUUUGCUUGUGCAUAAAGCCAAAGCUCUACUACUCUGAAUAUUAUAAAAUUAUAACACUAAAUCGACAGUUUGAACUUAAGACCGCUUGUGCAUAAAGCCCAAGCUCUACCACUCCGCCACUUUGACUUUAGUAUGAUCUGAAAAUAUUAUAUUAUAUAUAAUAAGAACAUUAUCUUAUUCAUAAUAAAAAUUUACCUAGGCUUGUGGGUGGGUUUGAACCACGGUUACUGAGAUCUCCUACUUUGGUAGGCGAUCCCUUCUAGGAUCUCAAUUCUGUCGCUCCCAGAAAGGAUCUCUCAGGGAUCUUGAUUUUUAAAUUUCCGGAUCUCGAUCUCCACUGUUAGGGAUCUUGAUUCCUAUUGUUAGGAUCUCGAUCCCAACCUUAAAGACCAAGACAACAACCAAACUGAUGAUUUUCUUUGUUUAUGGCCAGCUAGUAAUACAACCAUACUUUUAAUAUAGUUGCAUGUUGCUUGUUAUAAAUAAUGAGAUCCUUACUUUAAAGAGUGUACAUAAUCCUAAAUUAUCAUGCACUUUAAUGUUGAUAGCAAGAUCCCCAAAAGUCAGGAUCAAGAUCCCCAAAAGUUUGGAAUUCGAUUCCUAACAUUUGGAGAUCUCAAUCCCAACCAUACGGAUCUCCUAUGCAUUGUACGGAUAGUGUUCCCAACCAUAGGGAUCUUCUAGCAUUCCACGUUCCCAUGCUUCCGAUCCCGGUACCAUUCCUGCACCCGAUCUCAACAACUAUGGUUUGAACAUAUGAUCUCUUCUACGUGAGGUCAUUCUUUACCACUAGACAACUCUUCUACUGUGCAUUUGAUCUUGUAUUCAAAAUAAUAGGAAUUUGUAUUAAUAUAGCCUUAUUCAAAAUAGUGUUUUACAGAUGUGUUAGGAAGUAUUGACUUUUUAGCCUGGGUAUUAGACACCAGAACACCUGCUAAUUAUCGACAUGCUUGUUGGUGUCCAUAUAAUAUUGUUUCUUAGGAGCAGAGUUGUCCCAUUAUUAACAAGGCCACAGUUCAUUCUUUUCCAUGAUAAUCCUAUGAAACGCGAAAUCUUGGUAUGGAAAUUUUUUGCUAGAAAUGGAUGUUUCCUUAGAGAGAUUUGAUUUAACCUUCAAAGUAGAUAUGGAAAAGAUCAUUUCCAAAAAGAAUACGUUUUGCUGUCCAAUUUGGAAUGGAAAGAUUGUAAUGGGAUAGCUGUCCAUGAUAUCAAGGGAUCAAUAGUUUCUGUUAGGAAAAUAAUUAGGCAUGCAAACAUCUCAACCACACUCAUUGUACUCACACGUCAUUUCAACAACCUUCUUUCCCUAGGCUACCUCCUAGAACUUCCAAUCCUAGUUUCCCGGUAAAGCCAUGCCUGACUCCUUCCGUCUUUCCCAGGGAAAGAGCUUAGAUUUGAGCCCUUCUUCAAUUGAAGUAGGUGAAUUCUGUGCCUGCACGUACUGCCUCUGUAUUGUUGAAUUCCUUUAUGCUUCUAUGCUAUGCGUGGAUGCAUUGGUAAGUGUGAUAGGAGAGUUGCACUUGUGAGUUGAUGACAUUAGAGGAUUUGUGGAAAUGUUUCAUAACCUAGUAAUUAUUUGAAGUUUUAAAUGGGAAAGAAGCAAUAUAUAAAACUUCGACUUUAUCGUGUUACACAUUCUUAAAGGGAAGCUCCAAAUGUGGGUCUCUCUCUCACUCCCCUCCCCCCCCCCUCGCCCCUCCAACAAAAAGAGAAAAAGGGAGAAAAAAAUCUCCCUGCUUCUUUCACUCUAUAUAACACCUGCCAUGUGUUCUUAAAUGGAAGCUCCAAAUGUGGGUCUCCCUUUAGGAAUGGGGUUGGGGGCAUUGGUGGUUAUGGGGGCUGAUGCCUCAACAUGAUGUCCCUCCCUCUAUUCCUAUCGUUAACAUGGUCAAAAAGAAAAAGAAAAUUUUUNNNNNNNNNNNNNNNNNNNNGGAAGCUCCCAAUGUGGACCCCCCCCCCCCCACCCCACACACACACUCAAAAACAAACAAAACAAAAAAGGGAAAAAAGAAAAAAAAAAACACUUGAGGGCCACCUAGGUAUUUGUUCGCCCACCUACCAAAUCUGCGUUUUACAUCUUGGUGAUUCUAUGCCUUACCCAGCGAAAUACUGUACAAGGUACAAAUACCCUUCCUUGGGCUCGGCAGCCUCCCUAGCCUGAGUAACUCACCCGUGUCAAAGACAACAAGGGUGUGUUUUCAAACACUGAUUUGUGGGAAUAAACCUGUACAACUGAACAGAUGUUCUGCCUUUUUCAAGUCGUUAAUAAUCUCUCCCAAUUAUUCACAUUCAUCAGUAGUUCCUGAAAAUACUUCUUUGACUUACCUGCAUUAAUUUUGGAGUUUAGAUUUUAUUCCUCUUUAUACACGCUUAACCCUAAUAUACAUUGCGCAAUAUGCAUCAAAUAAAUUUGAUAGUAGGAUCAGGCAGACCCCAAAUAGUUGGGAUAAAACUUAGAUGGUGGUGGUGAUCAUGAUGAUGACGAUGAUUGGGAUUAGGCAAAUAUGGGUCGUUACUUGGUAGCCCCCCAUCAUAUGGACAACCUUAUUAUUGUGCCAUACAAUCACAUGAAGUCAAGGCCAAGAACUACUAAUAGCUGCAAAAAGGAUGUUUCUUGGGGUGGCCUUGUUUAGAUAUUUUCUUUUAAGAUGUAUGGGUGAAUGAUUGUUGUCUUGGUUAACAUGUCCAUGGGGCGAUAAGUACCAUGAUCAUUGAAAAACACCCUUAUUGUUGCAUUGUAAAUAUUGUCAUACCAUGGCAUGUGCAAUGUCCACAAAUGCAUGAAAAAUAAAUAAGAAAAAAAAAGAGAUGUUGGAAAAUUCGAUAUGCCUCUUAGCAUAGUUUCAAAAAGUGCUAGGCGCCCCUAAGUGGCCAUGGGGGUCCAGGGCACCCAGCGCCUAGGCGGCCCAGUUGAAAAAAAGAAAAAAUUGAUGAGUGACUGAUGACUGAUAAUGAUUAAUCCAUAAGGAUUUUGAUAAUCCAUAAGGCCAUAAUCCAUAAGAAUUUUGAUAAUCCAUAAGACCAUAGUCCCAGUUUAAAAAAAAAGGAUAGAAGUUGCGAAGAGAAUUUUGAUAAUCCAUAUGACCACUGUCCAUACUUUCAUACAAUACUAAAACAGUAAAACCAUACAAGCAUACACUGAUAGUCCGAUACAUUGUAGAUUGUACACACAAAAGUGAGAUAGUAGAACUAGAAACUAAAAAUAAGAAAAAGAUAAUAUACAAAAAUUCAAAAAAUAUACAGUCUAGGACACAAUAGUCAACGCUUAACACAACAGUCAACACUCAACACCAAGAGUCUUCUGUCAUCAUCAUCAGAAGGAAUAGGGUUAGCUUCAUCAUAUGCAUCAAAAUCGAGGCCAUCAUCAUCAGAGUCAUCUCCCUCUUCAAUAUAAUGCUCGUCUUCUUUUGUUUCUUCUGAAUCUGCCUGUUCCUCCUCUUCUUCUAUCUCGCGCUUACUAGUAUGUGCAGAUGAGGCCCUAAGAGUCUUGGCUGCUCUACCCUUUUCUAUCUUUUUGUACUUCCCUGAACUCAAAUAUUGUAUAAUUUCCUCCCUGGUAGUCUCAGGAACAUUUUUACAUGGAGCAACAUCUCCCUUAAUAUCAACAAGGUAUUUUUUAAACCGGUAAAUGCCCCAUUAGUAUCCUUUCCACAAUAAUUACAUUUAAUACGAUUUUUGUCAUUCAUAUUUGGGUUAUAACCAUACCUCCAACCCGAAUCAUCACUUCUGGAAGAACCUGGAGAAGAUACUUUCGUAGAACAAGGCUCAUUUUCAUCAUUUUUUGGUUAUUUUAAAUUCAGAAGUUGUCUAAUCUCAUCCCGAAUAGCUUCAGGAACCUUUUUACAAGAAGCAACAUUCCUUUUAAUACUAGCAAGGUGUCUUGAAUCGGUUAAUACCCCCAUUGGUAUCUUUUUCACAAAAAUUACACCUUGUACAAUUUUAAUCAUUUGGUUUUCGGUUAUAACCAUACUUCCAACCUGGAUCACUUCUUCUAGAAAUAGCAGAAAUAGAUCUAUUCAAAUGACAAGGAUUUUAUUCUUGUUUUUGUUUUACAAAACUCAUAUAUUGCUUAAUCUCCUAUCUGAGAGCUUCAGGAACACUUUUACAAGGGGCAACAUCCCCCAUAAUACCGGCAAGAUGCUUCUUAAACUGGUUUAUUGCCCCUUUCGUAUCUUUUUCACAAAAAUUGCAUCUAAUACAAUUUUUGUCAUUUGGAUUCGGGUUAUAUCGAUAUUUCCAACCCGGAUCUCCAUUUCGACUUGAUCCUGAAGAAGACAUCUCAAAAUAAAACAAGCAAUCUAAAAAAUAAAUUUUUGCACUUACUUUGAUUGCUCGAACUUCAAACUCCCACCUCUGAGAUGUUUUCUGGUGUUAAAAUAAUAAGAAACACCCUCUAAUAGGAUUAUAAAACUCCAAAACUAAGUCAAAUCUACUUGGGUGAUGUUGGGAUCCGUUUUUCGUAACUUAAGCACUUCGAUCCAAUGAAAGUCACAAAAUUUAAUUUUCUUGAGUUUUCUUUCUCUCUAAAAUGGGUUCUUGUGGGUUUAGGUUUGAAAUGAACCUAAACCAUCAUUUAAACCUUUUAUAUUUUUAAAAAAAUCAAUACAACUAAAAAAAAUUAAAAAUUUCAGCACCUAGGUGGGGCGCAGGCCUUAGGCGGCCGCCCACCUAGGUGGGUUCCGUACCGCCUAGGUGGCCGCCUAGGGACUGCACCCAGUUUGGCCGCCUAGGCCUGGGUGAUGCGCCCAGACCUUCUAGGCCGCCUAGGCGGUCCACUUUUUUGAACAUUGCCUCGUAGUAUCAAUUAUUUGCUGGGCGUUUUACUAGUUUUACUUAUGAUUUUUGGUUGAAUCAACAGUAACUGCCUAGUUUCAAAUUAUAAGAUGCACAUGAAUACAAUUAAACUAGUGAUAGCUCUAUUUCUUUUGUGUUUGUAACCAUAAGUUAGGUACAAAUAAAACAAAAAGAAACAAGUUCGACAAAUAUGUAUGCACACACAGAGGGAUCAACAUUCUCCAUUUGUGCUAGUUCCGUGAUUCUUUCAGAAAAAAAUUCAUGAUACAAAACGCCCUUGCUUCAUAUUGCAAAUAGGUCCUUGUGAUAUUUUUUUGUCAUUUGUAAGGGUUUAUUGAUGGAAAUAGAGCUUAAAGGGACAAUCAAUCCUGGAGAAUUUCAACUCUUUAUGAUUCAAUACUUCGUUGCACCUUGCAAAUGACAGAAAGUAACCUUGCCCAGAAAAUGAUAUGCAAAUAGAGGAGAGUAGCAUUUUGUGUUCAAAUAUCUUGUAUGUAGAGUUGGAGAGUGUAUCUGCCAACUUCCCUCCUGAGAUUGUGUUCAAGCAGCUCUGUUCUGUAGUGGACUGGAAAUGAGUACUGUUGCAUUUCUAAAAUUCAAUAAUAUUAUGGUUUGCUUUAAGAGAAACUAGUAUCACAUUGUGUGGGAUUCUAUAAAAAUAUGCUAAUGCUGGUGUUUGCUUUUUCUCAGGGCCUGUCGGUAUGUUGCCCUGGCUUCCUCAGGCUCUGGCACAUCUGGAUCACCUGUCAAUGCAGGUCUUGGUAUUUCUCAAGGCGCGUCUGUGCCACCUGGAAAUGACAUGGUCUUUUACCUAAACUCAACAUCAGAUGAUGGUGAUGGUAGAGAACCUAUGGAUUCCAAUGGUGGGGGUGGUGAUAAUGGUGAUGAGGGUACUCCUUCAAACAGUGAGGAUUUUGAAGUUAGGAUGGAUCUCACUGAUGACUUGCUGCACAUGGUAUGUUAUGUGUUUCUUCUCUUCUAAGUCUAAUUUUUUUUAAUAGUUGCUUGACAUCACUAAUCUGCUCCUGUUAUUGCUCUCACACUUUCUAAUUUCCUUUUGUCAUUUAAGGUGUUCUCCUUCUUGGAUCAUAUCAAUCUCUGCCGAGCUGCUAGAGUAUGUAGGCAAUGGCGAGCAGCCAGUGCUCACGAAGACUUUUGGAGGUGUCUAAAUUUUGAAAAUAGGAACAUCUCCCAUCAGCAAUGUAUGUCUUGCCAGUUGGGUCUUUAGGGAUUAAUCAAUGCAUGGAAAAGUUUAAUUUACCCAAUGUUCUAUGGCAUGCCAAAUUUCUCAGGAUUAUUUACAUGGUGAUUUGUAAUUUUUGAUGCAUGCAGUCAGGGAAAUGUGUUACAGGUAUCCAAAUGCCACAGAAGUGAACAUUUUGGGUGUUCCAUCCGUCGAUAUACUCGCUCGAGAUGCAAUGAACUCUCUAAGGUAGGUGCUGUUUUUUCUCCCAUAUUCCUGUCCCUUUUUCCGUAGGGCAUUGAUAAAGACUGCUCAUAUUGUUGUGUCACCUCCAGGAAUAUCGAAGUUCUGAUAUUAGGGAAAGGACAGUUGGGUGAUGCUUUUUUCCAUACUAUAGGUGAUUGCCCAGUGUUGGACAGGUUAAGCAUCACCGAUGCAACUCUCGGAAAUAGUAUUCAGGAGAUACCUAUCUAUCACGAUAGAUUGCGCCAUCUUGAGAUAAUAAAGUGUCGUGUAAUACGUAUUUCAAUCAGGUAAAAGAAAAAGUAAAGUUUACUUGCGUUUUUUCUCGUUUUCUGUUUUCUUUCUUUGUGCUUUUUUUUUUCUGUUGGGUGGGGGGUGGGGAAGGGGAGGUUUUUGGGGGGUUGGGGUGAGGUGUUAUGAGGAUUGUACCUGAAACACCCUCAUAGCUUAUGAUGGUGGUGCAGAAACUUGAAAUCUUAGGGCAAUACCUGGUGCUUACCUGAAACUUAGAUGUUGAGGCAUGUGACCUAGUUUCUUUCUUUCUUUUUUAUGUUUUUCAGCAGACUUUAUACUGUUCACUGCUGAGAAAUUGUUGCAUGCAGGUGCUCGCAACUAGAGAGAGUGUCUCUAAAGCGCACAAACAUGGGACAUGCAAUGUUAAACUGUCCUCAGCUUCGCUGGUUGGAUGUGGCCUCCUGCCAUAAACUUUCUGAUGCUUCAGUUCGUUCAGCUGCAACAUCAUGUCCAUUGUUGACGUCUCUGGAUUUGUCGAAUUGUUCUUGUGUUAGUGAUGAAACUCUUCGAGAAAUCGCACUUGCUUGUCCAAAUCUCAGCAUUCUUGAUGCAUCUUAUUGUCCUAAUAUCUCUCUUGAGGUCAGUUUGCAUCUGAGGCAUUAUGACUACUUGUGUUUAUACUUCCAGUUUUAGCAGAGAUUUGGAGUUUUGGACUCUGGAAUCUGGAUCUGAUUUAUGGUUGAAAUAUGGCUCUGGUAUUCUAGAAAAUAGAGAAAAUUUUCGAAGUAGAAAAGACCAAAUUUUGAAUUAUGGCCUAAUUUUUAGUUAUGGUCGAUUUUCAUCGGAUUUGGGUGAAGUAUAACAUAAGGAUCUGAGAGAUCUUCAAAACUGUUUGUAGGUGGCGGUUCUUUUUAAUUUAUGAAAAAGGUGCUGGCCCAUUUAGAAAGAAAAAUUUGCUCCAACAUUUGUUGAUUUUGGUGGAAAUCCUGGGUUCGGAUUGUUAUGCUAAUUUUGGUUUAGGCCAUAGCAGUCAGUGGCCUUUUAUCUUUAUCUCACAUGAUUCCACUGCUGCUGCUUGUAGUUUGUAAGGCUGCCAAUGCUGACAAAUCUGAAGCUUCAUAGCUGUGAGGGUAUCAACUCUGCUUCAAUGGCUGCUAUAUCUUAUUGUUCAUUGCUGGAGGUUUGUAAAAUCUUGUUUAAAUUUAUUUGAAUUCUGAUUGGCUGUUCUGACUAAUUCUGACAUUAUUUACAUCCCCAAAAUGAAACUUUUGCAGGCGUUGCAGCUGGACUGCUGCUGGCUGUUAACCUCAGUCAAUUUAGACUUACCACGCUUGCGGUGUAUUAGUCUGGUCCACUGUCGCAAGUACGUUACCUGCUUCUCUCUAUAUUUGUCUCGAGGAAGUUUACUCUAAUCUCAACUAAUGGAGGUCACUGUCUAUAGCGACCAUUAACUUGCAAUGAAAUUGAUUAUAGAGAUAGAGGGAUCCACCUGACUAGGAUAUGAUCCUAUUCCUCAUUAUUGGACGAUGAUGACCCCUAUUGAAUUUGAUGCUCCAUAGUCCAUUUAGCUAUAGUAUAUCUCCCCUUACUUGCUGAUCCUUUUUAAAUUGUGUACCCAAUUUUUAUUGGUACUUUGAAUGCUUGUUUAUGCAGAUUUGUAGAUUUGAAUUUGCGAUGUCCUUCUCUCUCUUCAAUUACGAUUUCUAAUUGUCCCGUGCUUAACCGGAUCAGCAUCACAUCAAAUUCUCUACAGGUAUCAUAAAUGUAUUAAUUACCAGCUCAUUUUGUGCUCUUAAAAACGUGGGCUUCUUGGACUGAGUUGAAAUGUUUGUAUCGGUUUUUUUGCAGAAACUAGUUCUGCAGAAGCAGGAAAAUUUGACCACCGUGUCUUUGCAAUGUCGCCGUUUGCAAGAGGUGGACCUCACUGAGUGUGAAUCCUUGACAAAUGCCAUUUGUGAAGUUUUCAGUGAGGGUGGUGGUUGUCCAAAUCUCAAGUCAUUGGUUCUCGACAGUUGUGAGGUUUGCAGCUGCCUUUGUUGUCUGUAUUGUUCUUUCUCCUUAUGCUUUUCUGAGAUUACUUGUAGUAUUGUACCCAUGGGAGGGGUAUAAAAUUGAAAGCUUUCUAUGUGCACAAGAUUUUUGUGCUAUGUUGGAUUUCAUAUGCUAAUAUUGGUUUGUUGGAGUGACAUUUACUGUGUUGCUGGACUUUGCUUUUCAGUUCUGCAUUGAGCUGUAUGUCAAGGGUUAAGGUCUCCUUUUUUUUCACUGUGUGACACUGUGAUUACUUCGUCAAGUCUCUGGAUAGAUUGUUUUGGGUUAUCCGAUGUUGAUUUUGAAUUGUUUUAUGGCAUGUCAAACUUUUUCCCUAGGAAAAUAGCACAAACAUUCCAAGCAUCUUUGAAUAGCCAAAAUAUUAAAGGGUUAUGUUAGGGUGCUCACACUAUAGAGUAUUUUAUAAUUGUACUCAACAAAAUUUGGAUACUUAUGUACUCUUGUUUUGUACAUGUUACAUAUUAAAAUUUACUAGAUAAUGUAAUCUAGUAUAAUUUUAAAGAAUGUUUCUGAUUAACAGAAUAUUAUCUAUGUUCCUUGUACAGAGUUUGGCAAGAGUUGUACUUAAAAGUACUUCACUGGUCAGUCUUUCACUUGUUGGUUGCCGUGCCAUGACCUGUUUACAUCUUUCGUGCUCAAAUCUCCAGCAAGUUUUCCUGGAUGGUUGUGAUCAUCUAGAAGAAGCAUCAUUUAGUCCUGUAUGUAACUCUUCAACUCAUAGUUUCUGUUUUUAUUUGAAUUUUUUUAUCAAUUUUCAUACUUCAAGAAUGUUAUUUCUUCGUGUUCAUAAUUCAAGAAUGUGCCCUAUUUGGUUUUGGAAAGUUUGGGUUGUGCUUGAAUAUGGUUGAUGUGGCCCAAGGAAUCUCUUUUGUUUCUGUCAUUUGUUGUAAUGUUUUUUUGCUAGUUAGAAUAUUAUUAUUCCUUCUGCAUUGGACUCAUUUAUAUUUGGGAAAAUAUCUUAUUAUCCCCUAUUUUUAACUUCUAUUUCUCAUCACACCCAAGAAUUGAAAAUAGUACUUGUAAGCAAAAGGAUUCCAUCUUUGCUAUCUUCGAACCCCCUAAACCCUUUUGACCAUGUAUUAUUGACCUCAACAACUUAUGAAAUGACUAUCUCUCUCUCUCUAAAACUCCAUCUCUAUCUAAAACCCAAACUCCAUCUCUCUCUAAAACCCAUCUCUCUCUCACNNNNNNNNNNNNNNNNNNNNNNNNNNNNNNNNNNNNNNNNNNNNNNNNNNNNNNNNNNNNNNNNNNNNNNNNNNNNNNNNNNNNNNNNNNNNNNNNNNNNNNNNNNNNNNNNNNNNNNNNNNNNNNNNNNNNNNNNNNNNNNNNNNNNNNNNNNNNCUCUAAACCCAAACUCCAUCUCUCUCUCUAAAACCCAUCUCUCUCUCACACAUAAGAAGGUGUGCUUGUGUUCGAGCUCAAGCUAAACCUUUGGCUGGUAAACUCACCGAGAAGCGAAGAGAGAGGAGUUUUAGAGAGAGAGAUGGAGUUUGAAUAAGGUGUCAUUUUAGCGUUUGUUUGGGUAAAUAAUUUAUGGUUAAAGGGGUCCAGGGGGUUGUAAGAUAGAAAAGAUUGAGACUUUUUUCUUACAAGCAAUAUUUUAAAUUCUUGGGUCUCAUGAGAUAUGGAAGUUAAAAAUAGGGGAUAUGGAGAUAUUUUCCCUUUAUAUUUUGGUGAAGCCAUUGUUUAGUGGCUCUAAUGGGCGGUGGCAGUUCAUUGUAGAUGAAUGUAAUCAGCUAGAGGGUUGUUAGUUGUAGACGUCCUGCUUUAAUGUGACCAUGGUAUCUGAAGUUAAAUGAAGUAUUAAAACAGCAAACAAGAUUGUAUAAAACCAUCAUCAUCAUCAUUUUAGAAAAUGCAAAUUCAUUUAUGUUGGUUUAGCUCUUUCUUUGAUAAAUUGUUUUUUCAUAAAACUAAUACUUACUGCUAUUUCUGCAGGUUGGGCUCCAAUCACUCAAUCUAGGCAUAUGCCCUAAGUUGAGUUUGCUUCAGAUUGAUGGACCACUAAUGACGGUUCUAGAGCUGAAGGGUUGUGGAGUUCUCUCCAAAGCUGACAUUCACUGCCCCAAUCUCUCGUCUCUUGAUGCAUCUUUUUGCAGGUGAUUUUGGUACUUGUAUCAUUUACUCUUAUGGUGUCCUUGUCUCUCUAUUUUCUCUUGGUCUAAUUACUGAAUCUUUCUUUUUUUGUUUUAUUCUGAUGUUAACAGCCAACUCAAAGAUGAAUGUUUAUCAGCGACUACAGAGUCGUGCCCUUACAUCGAGUCGCUAAUCUUGAUGUCUUGCCCUUCUGUGGGUCCCAAUGGAUUAUCAUCUCUAUCUCGGCUACCAAACCUGACUGUACUUGAUUUAUCAUACACUUUCCUGAUCGAUCUCCUCCCCAUCUUUGAGACUUGCUUACAGCUGAAGGUGACUUUUAUAUCCAUUUGUCCUUUUCUCACAGGAAGUACGUCACUGUCACUGUUAUACAAGCUUUGAAUCUGAGAAUGUUUGUUGUAAUCCAAUGAACUAUAGAGAUACUGGUCCUUGGCUCACCACCACUCCAUUGAAAUAAUGGAUGGUGAUAAAGAGAAAUUGAGACCUCAUGGGUUAUGCCCGGUAUGGGUGGGUCUCCCACUCCCCGUUUCUUUCCAUUGGUGUCAACAAUUUUAGUGACCAUUGAUGAUGCAAUGGACUUUGAUUUUCCACAGACUAGUAGAUUAUGAUAUCCUUGUGCUCUGAGUCCUAGUGCCUCAUAGGGUCUGUCUUUUGAACAGGUUUUGAAGUUGCAGGCAUGCAAAUACCUUGUAGACAACUCACUGGACCCUCUUCAUCGAGCCGGUGUUCUCCCAUCCCUUAGAGAGAUUGACUUGUCCUAUGGUAGUAUAUGCCAAUCUGCCAUUGAAGAACUGCUUGCCUGUUGCACCCAUCUCACUCAUGUAAGUUUGAACGGUUGUGCGAAUAUGCAUGAUCUAGACUGGAGUACAAGUAGUGGCCGGCACUUCAAAUGUGAAGAUCUUGAAAGGUCGGAUGUAGACUCUCAAGAUGUGCAACCUAAUCGUCUCCUUCAGAAUCUCAACUGUGUUGGUUGCCCCAACAUCAAGAAAGUUGUCAUCCCUUUAUCUGCGCGUUGCCUUAAUCUCUCAUCCUUGAACCUCUCUCUUUCAGCUAAUUUGAGGGAAGUGGAUAUGGCUUGCCUCAAUCUUUCUUUCCUCAACUUAAGGUUAUUUCUCUUUUCUUUUUUUGAAAUAAGUUUAUUUCUCUUUUCGCUUUUAUCAUGUCAUAAUUUUUCUCUUUUUGAUGCUAUUUUCAAUGAAAGAUUGUGCUACAAGGGCCAGUUUGGACAUGGCAGUUAUUCAUGAGUAAGUCCAUGCCUUAAAUGGACUCAUUCACGAGGAGAAAGCAUUCUUUGGGUAUCCAUCUAUGCAUGACGAUGUCAUAUUUCUCUGCCCUGCUUAGAAAACAGAGAACCUCAUCUGAAAAACCUGUUUUUCCUGUUCAUGGAUUAUCCCCAUUCAGUAUAUGAAGUGUCCAAAAUGGCCCUCAUCCCAUGAACUAUAGAAAAUCAUUGUUCUUUGAAGUAGUGAACCCCAGCUGUGGCUCUGCCUCUCAUCACCAACCAUUGUAUUGGGCAGUGAUGACGGCAAUCGCCUGUGGUUUUUGAUAGCCCAUGGAUUACAUUUUUACUUUCCCAUUUUUAAUUUCUCGUUGUGUUUGGUUUUAUUUUAAACAUAUAGGUUAUGCAUCUGCGCUUGUGCAAAGUACUGAUUAUUCUAGUUUUGGCAAUGUAGCAAUUGUUGCUCCUUGGAGGUUCUAAAACUUGAUUGCCCAAGAUUGAGCAGCCUGUUACUUCAGGUAACCUUUUCUAAAUGCCUCUCUUUUCCCCCUUUUUUUGUGCUAAUUGCGUAGCAUUCAGUGGUUAGUUUAGACAUGGUUCAAAACCCAUAUAUGCGCUGAUGCAUACUAAUACGUACUUGUUCGAUAAGUUUUCGUGUAUUAUGCAUUCUUUUAUUUUUCUGAUUUUUCCAUAUCAUUUAUUCUUUUUAAAUGUGAACAAACUGAAAAUAUGGCGGUAAUAACUUGGUUUGGUCAGGCUCAAGUGGGAAUCUGAGUUCAACUGUUUGAGCAUUAGGAUCAGGGAUGUGUACAAGAGUUAGUUUGAUGUCUCUGGUUCCUCUAUCACAGGCGGACUUUAUGUCUCUGGUUCCUCUAUCACAGGCGGACUAUGUAUAUUCAAUAAAUUAUGGUCAUUUCUUUCAAAACAAAAAAAAAAAAAUUCUGCAUCCUUUUUCGGCCUCUCUUUCUGCCCCACUUUAGUUCAGAGGGGUUUAUUUGAGGGGUACUUUUCGCCUUUUUUUAUUUAUCAAGAAUAGAGAGACCUCCAACUUAUUAAUUGAAACUGAGUAUGCCCCUGUUUUCUAUUUAUCAAGAGAAAAUCAUAUAUUUGUAGCAUUAAAAGAAAGGGGAAAAUAUGGGUUAUUUUUCCUCAGUUGAACCAAGUAUACACAUGUUUUGUUUGAUAUCUUGUUAUAAGAAAUCGGAAACUUGGCUGGGAACAUGUGUGAGUCAGCUCAGGUUUGGGCCCUGGCAUGUCCAGUGGCAAAACCUCGGGACUCACCUAGAGUCUUCUUCCUAAUUUUUGUUUAAAAUCACCAUUCUGUCUUGGGACUCGUCCGAGUCAGACUGGGGGACUUUGGCGAUUCUUAUAAGAUUUCUAUGGAUAUGCGCCCCAUUAAUUUGUUAUUAGUGAUUUGCAAAUAGGCUUGUGGAAUUGAGGAACAAGUGGUGGAAGCUGCUGUCUCAUAUUGCAACUCACUAGAGACACUUGAUAUUCGCCUUUGUCCAAAGGUAUAGAAGCUUUAGCUUCCCUUUCUUCAUUCACUUUGUAAUAUAUGUAUAUGGAAAAAGUUUAUAUAAGGUUGCAACUUUAAAAUAGAAUUAAAGAUGCACCUCAAAAAUCCAUCGAAGAAGGUUGUUUUAAUGUUGAAAAACCCUCUAAUUGAUCAUCUGGACAUCGACAUGUAUGAAUAUGAAAAAAAAAAGAUUUUGAGUCCUAGAAAUAGUGCAUCUUGCAACACAUUAUUUAAACCGUCCAUUUUCAAGAUUUUCACAUGUUUAUAGAUCUACUUGAUUUUAACCACUUUUGGAGUUUAAAAUUUUAUAAUUAGAUAUAAAAAUAGAAUUUUAGAUAAUGCUAAGAAUUUUUUACACCCAAAUUAAUUGUNNNNNNNNNNNNNNNNNNNNNNNNNNNNNNNNNNNNNNNNNNNNNNNNNNNNNNNNNNNNNNNNNNNNNNNNNNNNNNNNNNNNNNNNNNNNNNNNNNNNNNNNNNNNNNNNNNNNNNNNNNNNNNNNNNNNNNNNNNNNNNNNNNNNNNNNNNNNNNNNNNNNNNNNNNNNNNNNNNNNNNNNNNNNNNNNNNNNNNNNNNNNNNNNNNNNNNNNNNNNNNNNNNNNNNNNNNNNNNNNNNNNNNNNNNNNNNNNNNNNNNNNNNNNNNNNNNNNNNNNNNNNNNNNNNNNNNNNNNNNNNNNNNNNNNNNNNNNNNNNNNNNNNNNNNNNNNNNNNNNNNNNNNNNNNNNNNNNNNNNNNNNNNNNNNNNNNNNNNNNNNNNNNNNNNNNNNNNNNNNNNNNNNNNNNNNNNNNNNNNNNNNNNNNNNNNNNNNNNNNNNNNNNNNNNNNNNNNNNNNNNNNNNNNNNNNNNNNNNNNNNNNNNNNNNNNNNNNNNNNNNNNNNNNNNNNNNNNNNNNNNNNNNNNNNNNNNNNNNNNNNNNNNNNNNNNNNNNNNNNNNNNNNNNNNNNNNNNNNNNNNNNNNNNNNNNNNNNNNNNNNNNNNNNNNNNNNNNNNNNNNNNNNNNNNNNNNNNNNNNNNNNNNNNNNNNNNNNNNNNNNNNNNNNNNNNNNNNNNNNNNNNNNNNNNNNNNNNNNNNNNNNNNNNNNNNNNNNNNNNNNNNNNNNNNNNNNNNNNNNNNNNNNNNNNNNNNNNNNNNNNNNNNNNNNNNNNNNNNNNNNNNNNNNNNNNNNNNNNNNNNNNNNNNNNNNNNNNNNNNNNNNNNNNNNNNNNNNNNNNNNNNNNNNNNNNNNNACUAUUGACUUGCAUUUUCAUGCAUGCCUGCGUGCUUGUACUUGUAUGAACCAGAUAUCAACGGCUGUUAUCGGGAGGUUGCGUACUGUUUGCCCCAGCUUGAAGCGCCUCUUCAGCAGUCAGUCGCCAUAACCGGGUGACCCCUCCCUCACAUUGCAUCUCUAUUUUGGAUGUGCUCAUGUUAUUAAAUAAUAGCUAUAUUGGUUUUAUUUUUUAUUUUCACUUCUUUUUCCAUGUUGGGCUGGUUUAUAUACGACUUUGUAAGUCUCAUUUCUUGUCCCUUGACUAGGAUUAGUAUAAUGCGGGCCUCUGAUGUCCAGCUUGCUCUUGCAGGUUGUAAAUUCCAGUGUUUCCUUUUUUUUUUUUUUUUUACUGUUAUUUUUGUUUUUUUCCUUUUUUUUUGUCUUUCUUUUGUUUAAUUUUAGAGAUUUUGGGAGGAGCUAUAAGGUGGCUGUGAAUUCUGUUGUAUGACACUCAACAUAUUAUUAUACAGAUUGCAAUAUAUGAUGUUUAGAUCUUGUUGCUCAUUGAACGCAUUUGGAGGGUUUUAGGCCUUGGAUUGAAUGGUGUGGAUUCCUUUGCCACUUUAUGAUUAAUGAUGGGUAACAAGAAAUGGUGGCUUUGCUAAUCCUCCUUUCAUGUGGCCUGGUGAGAAUAGACAUCUUGUUGUGGCACCUAUAACCCUGAUCGCCUCAGCUUAGAAGCAUUCUUCAAUCAUUUCUCAAUUACUUAUGUUAUUUCGUAAUUUAUAUUCUGGAAAAGAAACUUGGUUAUCAUCCCAUGAAGGUGAAAUGAAAUUUUUUAGCAAAGUUCAUUUGAGCAUGUGUUCAUGUGAUACUGUAAUUAAUGUGUGGCAUUCUUGUUGAUUCAUUGCUGGCUGUGUUGUUAUAGCAUUUAGCUCAUCAUCAUCAUAACUUUUUUCCAAUUGGCAUUUAGCUUAUAUACAUAAAUUAUAUGAAUAUGAGGAUUUAUACGGAUUUAUAUCUCUCUCUCUGUUGAAUUGAAUAGAAUGUUAGGGCUAUUAGAUUCUAGAACAUAAAUUUCUUGUCUUGUCAAUUCAUGAGAAGAGGAAGGGUUGUUGACAUGCUGAUAAGAUUGGUAAUAAAGGGCGUUGUGCUUUCUUUCCUUGUCAUGGAUUAUUUUCUAUUAUUUUUAGUUUCUUGAUAAAAUUUAUUCUUUGAUUCAUUUAAUUUGUCAUUGUUAUUUUAUGAUUUUUCUCAUCAAGUUAAAGAAUGGUUGUAUUCGGAGCGCCAAAGUACGAGCGAAAUGUUGUGAUGUGGAACACUUUCAUAAGGAAAUGCUCUCUCUCUAAGACACAUGGAUGCACACCGACUUAUAAUCUGCCGUCCCUUUCUCAGCAAUAAUGCUACUCCUUUCUCAGCAAUAAGGCUACAUUUUACUCCUGACGGUCUCUUUCUCUCUCUAAUGUUAAAUUUACUGUUUUGGAUCUUGAUUAGCAGUCUAGGGAUGUGCCAACAUCAAGUGUCGGUCCGCACACGCAAUGGCAAUGACCUACAGAGUCUCUUAGCUGUGAUUUUGUUUGUGCUCUCUCACUAUAUUAUGGUGCGAGAUUUUCUCUCUACUAAAAAUCUUCCCACCACAAUACAGCCAAAAAGGUUUUCUCUUGACCUGCUCAUUGCCCAUGAAGGCCUGAUAAUGGCCAAUCUGCCACAAAAACAACCCAAUACAUCCGGUCAAUCUUAUCUUCAUCUCCCUCUCUCUUUCAUCCACCCUCUCUCUCCUCCCACCCCCUUGACCCCUUGCCCCACAACUCGUAUAUAUAUGGUGGUCAUUAGAAGUGCAAAGAGAGACUUUCAGGCUUUUCCAGCUGUGUUUACGUGUCUUUAUGUGUGUACACCAUUUCUUCCCAUGUGCUCUACAUCAGAUUCCGAAGGCGACUCUUUUAACCUAACUGAUCCAAUUUAGGGAUAAGUCUUGAGAGGUACAUAAUUGUGAAAUUUUAGGGAUUACGGUGUUAUCAGGAGACGGUUGGGUGCAUUGUAUUUUUAAAAAAAUAAAAAGAAUUAGAAAUAAUGGUUCAAUAAUAUGAAAUUCAUUAUAAAUAUUUUUUCUACUUUAUUUAGCCGGUCAAACUUGAUGGGUUUAAUUAGUCAAAACAGAUUGGAAGUUUAAUCUUUAUCUUGAAUCAAGCCAAUCAAAGCCCCAGCAAACGUAUGACGAGUCAGGCUCUACAAAUUUAGUUCCUUGAUAAUAAUAGGCCUGCCAAUUUAGCCUCUUGGUAACAAUGGGUGGGUGAAAUUAUUAUGCCCAUGGCAUAUUCUGUUCUAUUCCUUUAAUAAUUUUGGUAGUGCCUGUGAAACCUUUCCUUCCCACUUUCUCUCUCUCUCUCUCUCUCUCUAAAGCUUUAAUGGUUUCUUUUGUUUUUUGUCUUGUCCAUUUCCCCUCCAUCUUCAAAUAUCUAAUGAUAUAAACAUUUCACUUAUGCAUAAACUUCUCUCUCACGCUCAAACUUCGCAUGGUCCGAUACCGUCAUACAACCAUUUUUUUUACGGUGGUUUUUAUCAUUUAUGAAGGGAAAUAAAUCAUCAAGGACAUAUCAUUAGCAAGGCUACAGUCCUUAUUCACCGUUUGAUUUAAAAUGAGGUGGUUAAAGAUGUGAUAUUGUUUGGGCACCUGAAAGUCCUUAUUAUGAUAUUAAAUAACCUUCCAAUUGAUCAUCUCGACCUUGAGACAUGUAUAUAUGAAGAAAAAUGUUUUAAGUCCUAAAAGCAGUACAUUUUGUAACAAGUUAUCAAGAUUUUCAAGUGUUUAUAGAUGCGUUCGUAUUUUUUUUGGAAUUUUAAAUUCUAUAAUUAGGGACCAUGAGGAUUCUGACAGUAGAACUACAUAUCAAACUAAAUUUUAAAUGUGCAGUAUAAAAUAUUUAAAAUAUUUUAGAUGAAGUAGUCCGAUUUAGAUCAAGUUGACCACUUAUUGUUUGAUAUAAAAUUUGAUGCCUUAGAGUAUUUUAUUUUUAAUAUUUUUCUAUAAAAUUACAUGAAUAUGAAAUUUGAUACGUGCCACCAUCUCAAUGGGGCGUAUCUAAAAAAAAAUAUUUAUGAUAAAAUAUAAUAAUCAAAACCCCUGAAAUUCUCAUUGUAUUUGGUCAUUUUAUUUCAUUUAAAAUAUUUUUUUAUAGUCGUGUGUUUAAGAGAGGAGUUAAAGCCUAAAAUUCAAUGUCAAAGUUUUUUUUAUAUAAAACAUUAAAAAUAAAAUAAUAUAAAGAUGGGACAUUGUGAUCAAAGUUAUCUUAACAUUCCGGACUGGUGGAUAGGGGAAAUAUAGAAAGCUUGCCCCCUUAUACAACCCUCACCCAUAUUAUAAAAUCAGGCUAAGCUAAAAAGGGCCAAAAUCUUAUGAGCUAUGAUGAAAAAAAGAAAUAAAACACCCACAGGUGGAAACCCUAAAAAGAAAAUCAGAGAAAUAAAAUGGGAGCUAAGACAAAGAAACCAUUCUAAGAAAAUGGGAGGGAGGAGGUGGGUGGGGCCCAGUCAUCAAAAGGUAUAGAGAGAAAGAGGGCAAGGCCCCACAAGCAUCACAUGGUAGAGAGAGAGAGAGAGAGAGAGCAGUGCAUCACAAGGAGAGGGAGAGAAGUUCCUUUGGGCAGAAGCAAAGAUGAGAGAGAGAGAGUAGGGAGUAGUAGACUAGAAACAAUAAGCACAAAUCAUCCUAAAGUAAAAAUAUAAGAGAGAGAGAGGAGAGAGAGAAACUCAAUAAACACACACCACCCAACCCAAAGGUGAAAAGCAAAUAUGGAGAAAAUAGGGAACUCAAUAAACACACACCACCCAACCCAAAGGUGAAAAGCAAAGUAUUAGAAAAAUAAAAUAAAAAUUUAAAAAUAUAUAGAAACAUANNNNNNNNNNNNNNNNNNNNNNNNNNNNNNNNNNNNNNNNNNNNNNNNNNNNNNNNNNNNNNNNNNNNNNNNNNNNNNNNNNNNNNNNNNNNNNNNNNNNNNNNNNNNNNNNNNNNNNNNNNNNNNNNNNNNNNNNNNNNNNNNNNNNNNNNNNNNNNNNNNNNNNNNNNNNNNNNNNNNNNNNNNNNNNNNNNNNNNNNNNNNNNNNNNNNNNNNNNNNNNNNNNNNNNNNNNNNNNNNNNNNNNNNNNNNNNNNNNNNNNNNNNNNNNNNNNNNNNNNNNNNNNNNNNNNNNNNNNNNNNNNNNNNNNNNNNNNNNNNNNNNNNNNNNNNNNNNNNNNNNNNNNNNNNNNNNNNNNNNNNNNNNNNNNNNNNNNNNNNNNNNNNNNNNNNNNNNNNNNNNNNNNNNNNNNNNNNNNNNNNNNNNNNNNNNNNNNNNNNNNNNNNNNNNNNNNNNNNNNNNNNNNNNNNNNNNNNNNNNNNNNNNNNNNNNNNNNNNNNNNNNNNNNNNNNNNNNNNNNNNNNNNNNNNNNNNNNNNNNNNNNNNNNNNNNNNNNNNNNNNNNNNNNNNNNNNNNNNNNNNNNNNCAAAUCAUCCUAAAGUAAAAAUAUAAGAGAGAGAGAGGAGAGAGAGAAACUCAAUAAACACACACCACCCAACCCAAAGGUGAAAAGCAAAUAUGGAGAAAAUAGGGAACUCAAUAAACACACACCACCCAACCCAAAGGUGAAAAGCAAAUAUGGAGAAAAUAGGGACCUCAAUAAACACAACCAUCCAAAGGUUAAAAGCAAAAAUUUGUCCAUUUCCCAGCACCAAUGCCUUAUAAAUCAACCCUCCCCCCUACUCUCUCAUCGAAGGCCAUCACCACACACACACACACUCUCUCUCUCUCUAUCUCAGAAUUUUCUCUCUCUACACCCACAAUGCCUCCUCUCCUCCUCUUCCUCUCCCUCCUCUCUCUCCUCCUCCCCCAUGCCUCAUCCCUGGACUACUGUGUAGCUGACCUCUCUCUACCCCCGACCCCCUCAGGAUUCCCCUGCAAAAGUCCCUCAAAAUUAACAUCAGAUGAUUUCUACUUCACAGGCUUGGGCGUGGCAGGGAACACAUCAAACAUCAUAAAAGCAGCAGUAACCCCGGCUUUUUCGCCUCAAUUUCCGGCCGUCAAUGGCCUCGGCCUCUCCCUUGCUCGCUUGGACGUGCUGCCUGGUGGCGUC
rnacentral:lncRNA from 1 species